AAUUCGACCUUGUGGUUCGGACUUAAAUCAUACUAGUGUAAAGACCCGCGCGAUGCAGCGGUUAGAUAAUACAAACAAAAUUUAAAAAUUUUAAUAAAAUUUAUAUUUACGGGUUAUUGAUAUAUAGAAAACUAUAUCAUGUUAAGUACAGCCAAUUUGCAUGACUAAAUUUAACUAUUAAAAAAAUAAAUUAAAGUUAGAAUCCACUCAUCGAUAAAAUAUUUUUUUUUUUGAGAUAUAAUCGAUAAAAUAUUAAUAUGGUGCAUGUAAUUAAUUGUUGCACCUUACAUGUAAUUAGAGGAGUGGAAAGGUGAAGAGUUGAGCGUUGAGAAGAGAAGAAGGUGGUUUGAUUUAAAAUUGGGCUAUGAGAAUGAAGGGUAAUAUGUUACGUGGUAAAAAAAAAUUUUAUGGUGUAUGCAAAAGAGUUACAAAAGAGAGGGGGUGGGAGAUUAAUGGAGAAAGGAGUUGAUUAAAAUUAUAAAGCUCACUUAUUAAUAUAAUAUUAAUAUGAUGUAUAUAAUUAAAUGUUACACCUUGCAUAUAAUUACAGGAGUGGAGAAUGAAAGAUAACAUGUCACGUGGCAAAAAAAUAUUGUGCCUAUAUGAAUAUUGUGGCUUCAUAUAGAUUUAUAGAUGACUACCCUGCGUUUACUGUUCCAUUGUGUGUUAGGAGCGACAAUCGUCAAUCGCGUCCUUCAAAUUUAGUCAUUGGGCAGUAAAAUGUUAUGUUUUGAACCGCUUGUUCGAUAUAGGAGAACGGAGAGAUACCACACACAGGGAUAUUUGAACUUUUCCGUUCCUUUUCCUAAUACAAUUUGUAUACAGGGGCAGAUACAAUAGGCUUUGCAGAAUGAUCCGAAUUCAAGAAGAUGCUCUUCAAAUUCAACGGUACGGGCAAGCCUGACCCCUCGCUCGACUCAUCACGUCUGCGCAGCUUGCAGAAACUAUGCCCAGACGACAACAGUUCCGAUCCCGAUGGUAACAUCACACCGAUGGAUCCGCUAGCAACGAGCAGGUUCGACAAUGUGUAAGUUCUGAUGCAGCCCCGUUAGUUACUACUUACAGUAGGAACUCUUUCCGCUUCUUCACGGACUUCAGGAAGUCCAUGGUGAAGAUGGCGAGAUAAGGACAAAUUGUCGGGUCAUCAAUUAGUAUUCAAGUAUCUAACACAGUUUAUCUGAGCAGGAGAAUGAGCAAUACCAUGUUUGCAGAAAUGCAUGACCUGAUAAAACUAUGUAUUUUGAUUUGAAUGUAAACUUCUCCCUACUGGAAAAACAUCUUAUAAAUUACUGAUGGAAUACUAAGCAGUGUGCUUACAGGCAUGAUAAAAGAUAACAUGAUCUGCAAUAAUAUGCACUCAAAAGGGAAUAUUUCUCCUCUAACUUAUUACUGAUGGUUUGUUGUUCUCUACGCUACUUGAACGAGCCUGAAGAUUAGUUACAGAAUGACAGAAGGAUGCGGCGACAAUCCAUGUACAAUUAAUUUACAAAGAUGAGGCAGAAACGAGCCAAGAACUUGCACCACCAUUUGAAGUUAGAUUUGUUGCCUCAGGGGGGUGGGGGGAGGGGGGAGAGGAGAGAGAGAGGGAGAGGUUAAAGCCUUGGGUUAGUCCCUACUAUCUAUAGCAUUUGCUACCCUAGGAGAUAUAACAAGCAAAAGCCAUCAAAAUUUAGAUAGUAAAACCCUCUAGCGAGACCGGGAUAGAAAGAACUCGUAAUCUGGAUGUUGGUUUGCGGACCUCUCAUUGCCUUUAUAAAUAACAGCCCUAGCCAUCACCGAUGCCGUUUGCUUCAGUGUUUUUAGUCUCUCUUUUAUAACUUCCGAGAGGUUGGAAUACGGAGCAUCGUCCGGUAAAACGGUCUUAAAAUUUGAGUCCCUGGGUUGAAACCACCACUCCCCCUGUACAAACAUGCCACAUAUCUUCAACCGAAGUACCAUGUUAAAGAGCAGAUAAAUGGUAAAAUAUUUAGAAUAAGGCCUAGUUUGGUAAUGUGGUGAUUAAAACCACUGAUGUUUUUAUAUAACAAAAGGCCCAAAAAAUUCAACAGCACUUGCAAUAUUUCCUUUUUUAUAUUAUAAAAUUGCGGUUGCAGCUGCCAUCGGAAAGCACGAAGCAGUUUCAUAGUAUAAAAAAGGAAAGAUCGAAAGUGCUUUUGAAUUCUUUGGGCAUUCUGCAGUAUAAAAAUGAUGCUUUUAGCCACUACAUGGACAAACUAGGACUAAGUAGUUUAUUCUAGAAUAAUCAUUUAGUUCAAGUAUACGUUUAGAUGAGACAAUAAAUCCUAAUACCCUGUCAUUGUAUGUCUGUAGGCCCACAACUGGAGAAACUAAGUGUUUAAGCCCAUUGACCAUAUUUUCUGACCCACUUUGUUGAACCAAAGAUCCAAAAGAGUGAUAGGUUAGAAAUGCAGCAUGAAAAUUGCCGUCUGGUAUACGAUAAACAGGAUACCAUGCAACAGAAAACCUGGAAGAGUCGAAUAGAAAUUGUGAGUUAAUAUGACAAGAAAAGUUCAUUUAAAAUAGUAUAGCAACAGUAAGUGUGAAGAUAAAAAGGCUCUGAAUAACAAGAGAAGAACCAGGAAGCAGGGUGAAGAGCAUUGAGGUUUAGGUUUUCCAGCUUCUCAGGGUCUCCAAAUAUUUGGCUUUUAGAAGGUCUCACGCCGCUAACCAGCUCUUUUAUCCUAUUUCACAACAUGGAAAACAUCUUUAUAAGGGAAAAAAAUUGCAGGAAGUGGACUCCUAAUAAACAGCAAUAUAAUAGUAAAAAACAGAAGAGAAAGCCACUAGAUUGAAGUGUAAAUGCCACUCAACAAGACAACCAAAAAGAUUAUGUAUAAGUUACAAAUGAAAAACCAUCAGCCAGCUAGAUGGAUAACUGUCUAAGCUACCAAAGCACGAAUAAAACGAUAGAGAUAAUAGCAAAGAAUGCAAAACAGAUUGAUUAUGAAUUUAUGAUACUCGAAUUAUGUAGACAUUUCCACAAAAGAAAACCAGUUCGACCAUGAAACAGACGACACUAUAUAUCCUGAAAAGGGAAACUUAAAAAGUUUCUCAUGAAAUAUGAGAAUUUUAUCGAUGAUGCGCGUCCACUCCUACCACAGUGAACCAUCCUCCCUUUAAACAACUUGUAAAAUUAAUGGGAGAGAGAUAUUUUUUCCAAAAGUCAUUAAGAAUGUGCAAAGGUUUAAAUAGAAAAUAGAAUUCAUGCAUAACAACUCUAAUGAAAUGUCAAAGGUCUGAAAAUUAAGAAAGCAAAAGAUAACAGUGUAGAGAAACAAAAACUAACUUCUCAAACAAUGGGCGUCGCCAAGGAGGCUGUUCAGAUUCAAAAUAUUCAAAAAUGAGCUCUCCGUCCCCACUACUGACCAACUGAUCACCUUUUAAAGACGAAGAUUUAAAUAAGCAUGCAUCUUUCCCCAUGGAAGAUUGUGGGAACAGCUUUGAGAAAAUUGGGAGAGAAGCUAAACAAGAUGAAGUUUUGGAUUGCCCAAAUAAUUGAACAGCUGACAGAUAAGGUACAAAAUAUGCACUGAACUCGGAAUGACUGUUCCGAAGCCUUUUCAGAUUACGAUAAUCGCACGCCUUUACUUCCAAACCAUAGCACCCAGGCUCUUCAUACCACUGCCAAAUGCUCCUCAAGGAGACAUCAGGGAUCUGAUGCCGACACAAUGAGUUGCCAAGUAGCUGUUCUUGUAUGCAAGUGCUGCAGCUUUUAACGCAAGAAGCAUGACCAACAACCGGAGAAGCAGAAUAAAUAAAUUUCUCAAAGUCAGCAAUAGGAGUGCCAGUGACCCGCUGAAUACCUUCUACAUCAAUCUGCAUUUUGUAGGCAUCAUUAACAGCAUGUAUUAUCUUGUCUAAUUCAGUCUCUGAUCUAAGAAAGCCGUUUUGAUUAUGCGUACCAUCAAAAGCUUCAGCUAAAUGAGUUUGACUCAUCACUUCAUUAUUUGAUUUCUUGUCAUCAGGUGAUGACAAAUCUGUAUCUUUAGAGGAAAGAAAAUUAGUGCAUGAUUGUGAAACCACUGUCUGAGCAUUGUCUGAAGUAGGAUUAUUGUUAUGAACUAAGUGAUCCACAGUAGAAGCCUUACUAUCUAUACCCCUAUCAGAAACUAUUGAAUCUUUCUUCCCUAUGGGAACCCACUUCUGCAAUAUAGAAUUCACACUAUACUCUGACUUACAGGUUUCUGGAGAACUUUCAGUUUCUGACUUCAUGCAUUGGCUGCGGUCAAUAUCUGUAAGAAAAAGAUCGCUAAACCUGCACUUGAUAUCUUCAGAGUUGCCAUACAAAGACUUUGUUUCAAUGUGCAUAUGAACAUUAGAAUUCUGGCAUAUAUUACCAAGUGUGGUCAUCUCCUUACCAUUCUUUACCACAUGCUUUGCCUCAAAUUGAUCAAGGUCAACAUUGUCACAUGGCUUGGCCAAACGUUGUUGAGAACCAGUAACACUAGGUAAUGUUAAUUGAGAGCUUAUGUGCUUCACAUUAUUCAUUGGAGGCAUGGAAACCAAUGCUUCUUUGUGAUGAUUUUUGGAAGCCCUAGCUGUGCUGCUCUUAUCAGUAGAAGACCCCUUUCUGGAUUGUUGUGCGGCCUGUUUGGAAGCUGCACUCAGUUUUGAUUUAGCAUUAUUAAUUUGGUCUCUGUCUACAGAUUUCAAUUGAAUUUCACUCGAAUUGACUGCUUCAUUAGCUACUCUGCAUGAAUGUGUUGCCUUUCCGCUAUGGUUUUGUUUCAGCCUUACUGAUGAAUCAGAUCUCGUUCUUGUUUUGGAUUCUUUUAGCGCAAUCGCACUCUGGGAUGUAAUAUUUGCAGUCCUUGGUUUACUACUGCAUUCAUUGUCUAGUUUCUGAACCUUUUGCCAGACGGAAUGACCACUAUCUUUUCCUGUACGACCAUGGAUACUUGAACUGCUAAAAUGAUUCGUCCCAUUUGAACUCACACUACUUGCCAUUUUCUUACUCCGUCUACCUCUUUUUCCAGAAAUAACAGGAUGAAAGCCAUUGCUGCUACACGCUUCGCUACUGCACUGAGUUCUUUCAGUAACUUCGCACAUGUCAGGAACAGAACAGUUAUCCAACUCGUUAGAGCUAAUUCUGGAGAGAUUUACAGUUGUGGUAUGACAAGAAUGUUCAACAUUGUUUGAUUCUGUAACCAACCCAGAAUCUAAAGAAUUAUGCUCACAUUCAUUCUUCUUGGCUAUUAACUGGGUCUCAGUAUCAUCGCUACAGUUUCCACUGACAUCACUGUUCCAACCAUCCAGAAAUGGAUCUGUUGCUGUAGCAUUACAGCUGUCUAAGGAAAUGCUGGAUGAAUUGUUAUGACUAUCUUUCCGUUUCAUAUGGCUAUCCAUAUAAUUCUCAUUGAAUGUGGAUAGAAUUAUUUCAGGAGUUUCUGAUGUACUUAAUGAGUUACAUUUAAAUCGUUCACCAGAAAAGCCCAGAGAUGAGGUUGUUGGUUCAGACUCAUCCAUCUCGUCACUGUAGGAUGUGCAGGAUACUAAAGUAGUCGAGCAAUCGACAAAUUCAUUAUUGUUUUCACUAUCAACCUUUUCAGCAGAAACGUCUUUUAAUGAAGAGCUAGGAGAUGAUGCCUUGUCAAAAGCAGAAACACCAUCAGUUAUCUCUUCACAUUGAGUUUCUAAUCCAGUGGAAGAAGCUUUUCUCUGAGCACCUUUUCUGUACUGUUUCCCUUUCUUUUUUCCUUUCUUUCUCGGACUCCUUUUCGAAGUUUUCUCUCCCUUAAGGACACUGUUAACUACAUAAUCAGGACCAACGACGUUAAAGUUGUCACAAAUUGAACUGGAAGAAUUAUCUGAUGCCAAGAAGCUAGAAGCACUCAUGCUUGUGGAAUUUUUCACAUUUUUUUCCCAUUUUUUCCUCAAGUGAGAUUGCCUUGAGAUGCCUCCCCUAAAAGAAUUGCAGUCAGAGAGUGGAGAUUUUACAUGAUUUGAAUUCUGGACCAUGUUGAUUUUCUGCUCAUUUGGGAGAUCAACUUGAAAAAUAAUAGUUGGUUGCGGAGAUAAUGACUCGAGACUAUCCAUAUCAUACGGAGUUCCAGAAGUCAGAUGGUUUCUUCCAUUUGUACCUUGCAACGGUGGCAAAAAAGGAGCGAGUUUCCAGCAUGUGUCACGAUCAAUGGCAAAGAAAGUGAAAAUAACGCACCUGGACAUGCAAGUAGGUAAAUACAUGUACUUGUGUACUUAAGCUCGAAAUAAAAAUUAAAUAUUUACAUUGUAUACCCUGAAAACUAUCGACUUACACAUAUAUACCUGUAAGAUCUAGAUUUUCACAGAUGCACAUAAAAACUAGCAUACUCUUUGUAAUUAUAAAAGUGCCCCUUAAAAUAAAAAUAAAUAAAUCUUUUCCAAAUACAAAACCAAAUUUCCCUGUGAAUUAGAUUACUCCCCAACUUUAAAUUAGAAAGUUUUCGUAACAAACUCAUGCACUUUCUAGGAGUGUAUAUGAAAAAUCAGAUUUUCCAGGGGGCAUAUAUAUGUAAAUAUACAAUUUUUCAGGUACAAAAAUGUAAAAAUUCUAAUAAAAAUGUGCAGCGUCAACCGAAUGGGAGAGACAUUAAACCCCUGAAUUUAGAAAUAUUGCAUGCAACAGGAGGGAAGUACAAUCAAAAACACAAUUUGAAACUGCUAUUCUUUUCUAUAACAACAAAAAAAAAUCUAGGCAACAGCAUUGCACUAUGACAAAUAGAAAGUACUUUAAGUAACAGAAGAACAACAGGCUAUUUGAAGCUUCACAUCAGAAACAAUAAGAUCAUCAAGCUCAAUCCAUUAACCAAAUUCUUGCAAAGGAUGCAAGUUACGAAUAACCUAUAUUAGAGUACCUCUGUUCAGAGCUCCUAGAGUCGAACUCAGCUACACAUUCCUGAAGAAAGAUGCAUGCAAUGUCAGAGACUAAAGCAACCUUGUAACUAGCGUCUACUUUGAGUGGGGGGGAAAAGAAGAUGGUUUAAAAGAGAAAAUAUAAAUAUAUAGAUAUCACCUUUGAACAAUAUUGGUUACUAUUCUGAGCUGGUGAUCUAUUGAACAUAAAGCGACUUCUCCUAUCUGCAGCCUUGUCAACAUUGCCACUGAUCCUUCCAUGGCCACACGGCAUCUUAUGUCGAACCUUCCUACACAUAAUUGGAACAAAUGCAUAUGGGUGGAUGAUGCAAAUGAAACAUAACUACUAGUGAUAUAGUGCCAUUCCAAAAUGCAUAAUUACACUACAGGUAAAAUGGACUAGUUGCAAAACUAACUAGAAAGAAAAACAAGAAGAAAUGGAAUAGGCCAUAAUUAUAAACAAGAAUCUAAAAUAAAAUGUUAGAGUAAAAAAGUAUAAAAGAUAGAAUAAUAAAAUAUAUCAGGUGAAUAGAUAAAACUACUAGCAUUUAAGCACCUAAAAAAUAUUUUCUAAAUGUGUCAAUAAGGUUUUCUAAGAUCUGGCCUAGUAAUUUAAAGGGUAUCUAGGAUGAACGAAUAGAUUUAUAUCGAAGAAAAUUUUAGAUGGCCAUAUAUGAAAAGGAAAAUGAAAAUAGAAUACCGCCAAAGAGUAAACUUUUGCUUCUCAUUAGACCAGUUGCAUGGGUAUUUCAUAUUUCCAUAAUAAACUUCUCAAAAUCUUUUGUGAAGUUAAAAUUGAACGAAAUGAAGUACCAACUGUGAGAGACUUUAACAGAGCAAGUAACUAAUCGCUUAAUAAAGUUUUUUUUUUUAAAAAAAAAAAUCUUAUCCACAAGAAAAAAGUACUAUCCAACCUGUCAAGCCAAAAACUGAAAACAGAGCUCUUGAUAAUAUAGAGGAAGAACAGCCGGAAAUCCACCAAAGAGUUACUAACAAAUAUAACGACUGGCGAAAAGGUUCGUUUUCUGCUCCGCAUUCAUUCAAAAUGGGAUUUUUUUUUUUUUUUUUUCCUUCAAUACCAUUGUAAACCCAGAAAACACAACAACACAAGUACAUAUUAAGACUAACAAACGAAUUUUUACCCAGAAGCAGCCCUUUUUAGAACAGAGAGAAAUUUUAAAAACCCAAUUUUCAACAAGGUUAAUGUUAAAAUAACAAUGAAAUUGUGCUGUUACAAAUUACCAACAAUCAGUAACUAGAUUAAUUGCCUGAGUGAAUUUAUAAAAAGUUCUGUCAUAGAUAUGAUAUAACCCAAAUUUCUGAAGUUAGCAAGUUACCUGAGAUUAGUGCAACGAAGAAGCUAGAAGACAGAGCAUCAAGUUUCUCCUGUUUCAGGGAUUUGAUAGUAAGGGCCAAUACUUAUCUAAAAACAUUGUAAUGCCAAUAUCCUGACCAUCAAAAACUCAUAAAUACAAGUGUGAAAAACUUUCUACCAAAUUAUGCAAACGAAUUUGUUCAAACUCUUUCGCUACUUAGCAAUGCACAGGAUUUUCUUAAUAGGUGAAUCGUCAUUAUGGCAAUAUAAUAACUAGUGUUCAGAGAACAGACCAGCCCAUCAGGCUGGAUGACUGUGAAGCAGCAGUUUUGGGGCCAAUUUGGUCUAAAAGAAGUAGAAGUAGCAAUUGUAAACAACAACAAAAAAAAAACCGUUUUAAACCAACCGGAUUCAUUGUUUUCAGUCAUAGUAUAGGGCAAACUAGCCUCCACGAAGCAACAAUGAUUAGGAAUGCAAAAACUUUGGCAUCACGAAUUUCCGUGUGAUGCUGCUUUCAAAAAAGGGGAUGAUUCUCCAUCAAUAUGGUAAUGCAUGCACAGUCAAAUUCAUUAACAAGGAGAUUCCAACAGAGAAGAACUUUCUAAUCAACAGAAUUUUAUUUUUCGACCGCGCUCUGCAAAAGAAUUGGAAGGUCGAAAACUCAAGAAAAUUAAGGAUAAUACUAAGCCUCAAACUUGGUACCUCACAACCAAGGGAAUAAAGCAAAAGGUCCAAAGGUGGCAUCACAUCCAACCAAAUCAAGAUUCAAACAACUCCAAGAUGCAUAUAACCGAUCAUCCACGCAAUCCCACAAUAAAUGAGAACAAGAUGCCAAAGACCAAGCGAAAGAUGACCUCUUUCGAGCUCCGCAAUAACAAAUUUUACAAGGAAACCACCCUAUAAUUCAAAUUCCGCAGAACAAACUCCAAAUACAUAUGAAAAAGGGUCAAAAAUCUCACGACAGCAUAUCCGUUUUUUUUAUAUAUAUAUAUAUAAAAUGGUCAAAAAUCUCACGACAGCGUAUCCGUAUUUUUUUUUUCUUUUUUCCUUUUCGUGCCUUUGGGAAAAAAAAGACCUUUGACUGAAGAGAAGCUAUUAUUAUUAAAAUAAGGACUGAAUAUAAAUUCCUUUCUCCCGGAAAAAAAAAACCAACUUGGGGAAUCAAAUAAAAUAAAUUUUAUACAAAAAAAAAAAUUUCUCUUUAUCUCCAUGUUUUUAAUACCAAAAUCACACCCCAUCUUUUCAAUAUGAAAAGAAAAACAUAAAGAAAAAGAAAUUAUACCUCAUGAUCACUACCAGCAACGAAUAAACAAACCGAAAAGCUUACUAAUUAACCGGGAAAACCAACAUAGAACCCCCUCCCCCCAUCAAGAAAACCUACUUAAAAUUAGAAAAAAAGCACGAAAACAAUCGGGGAAAAAAAGACGACGACGCUACGAUUCCGGUAAAAUCGAAACCAACCACGAUCGCCCCGAAUCGGGGCUGUAACUUUUACUAAAAAUAGCACCACCCGAUUACAGCGCCCGAUUCGAGGCGCGGGAUCAUCGGGUGAGAGCCCGAGAACACAUAUUACACGAAUCUAGGGGGGGAGAGGAGAGAUGACCUUCGAGCGCGCUAUUCUCGUCGCGGAUAACACUAUUCCGAGGAGUUGUUCGUCUCCGAUUAGGGUUUUGGGGGGCGAUCGGGGAUUCGGCGAUCGCGCGAUCGAGCGAAGAACACAAAGGGCGAAGUAUAGAGCGAGCGAGAGAGAGAGAGAGAGAGAGAGAGUAUGAGACGAUGGGGAUUGUGCACGGGUAGGUGGGGGAGAGGGUGGGGAUUGUGCGGAGUGGGAGAUGGAGGGGAAUAUUAAAAAAAACAAAUAAUAAAAUAAUAAUAAAUAAAAAAGGGGAAAAGAGAGUGGGGAGGAGAGAGAAUAUGCGGAUGCUCUGAGGAUUCUUUGAUGCGGCUUCUUUCGGAAACGGGAAACGCGAAGCGCGCAGGGGGAAACGGGAAAAAGGGGGAAAAUGGGAAGUGAUACACGGAAAUGGGACGUUAAUUGUUCCGGAAACUAUUACCUGCACCAGGUGUAUAUUCACACUCCAUGCACCAUGCUUACUAAUAAUAAUUGAUAAUUAAGUUUUGGAAAUUAAAAUGUAGCUUGAUAAAUAUGAUCCGAUAUUUACAAAGCCAACAUAUAAAAAAACAAAUCAUAUAUUUAAGAAACUUAAAAACUUAAUAUCUAAGCAUCAAUCAGCUUUAAAGAAUAAUGAUUGAAAGAUGACUGUUGCUUGGUUUAUAAAAAUUUGGUAUUUAAAAUUUAUUUUUUGAUAAGCAUGUCUUGUAAAUUGUAUGAAACUUACUCAACAAGCAAGAUUUUAAUUUUGAGGAUCCUUAAAGAAAAAGAAAAAAAAAUUUAACUAUUCUAUCAUAGAGAAAUAAAUAUGUGAUUUGUUAAACAUGCUUAUUUACCUAAUGUAGACACUUUCUUAGAAGAGAGGUGUUGAAAUUAUGUUGAUGGUUAAUAUUGUAUGUGUUUUAUUAUACUUAGUUAUUACUGAUAAACAAAUGCUUUGGAUUCUUUAAAAAAAUAUUAAUAUAUUAUUAAACGCAUACGAUACUUUUGAAGAAUGUAUAUUCAUCACACAAAAAUCUAUGCAUCAAAAAUGCCUACACAUUAACUAUAUAUGAAUAAAAUUUUAAAGUAUCAAUGCUUUUAAUCGAUGUAUUGAUAUUUAUGAUGGAGAAAUGAAAGUUUUUAUUCGUUCAUAUACAUAAUUUAAGGUAUUAUAUUAAUUUAUGAACAAAUCAGUAAUACAUAACAAAUUAUUUAUGGAAAAAUCAAAGCAUUCAUACUUUUAAAAGAAGGAAUCAUAUAUUAUCACAUGCACCUGAUCACAUGGACACUUCAUUCGAUGUACGUAAUUUAAAAUUAAAAUUUAGUUCAGUAGAUGUGAAUUAAAAAAUUGGAACAAUAAAAAACAUACAUUUUGAAAAUCUUUUAUGUAAAUGUUAGAUAAUCUCAAAAAUGAAAAACAUGUAACAAAUUAAUGCUUAUUAUUCAUAUUCAUAAUUUUUUUUAUUUGUAGAUCUUCUAAAUUUUAUAGAAUAAUUAAAUAUAUUUAACAAGUUAAACAUAGAUUUUUGAUAACUUUAUUCUAGCCUUGUAGGUGCGGUGUAUGAUGCACACUCAUACACCGGGUACCGCGGAUAAUUUGAGAACGAGAACGGGACCCGGUGAUUAGGGACUGGUAGCCGCAUAAAUUUUCCAUGCGGAAGCGUUUCGGUGUGGAUUAGACGUGGGUGUUUAAACUGGAAAAGUGGUUUGGCGCGUCACGUGUGCGCGAGUUCGGUAGGUCGCAUGCGGAGGCGACGGUCGUGGGAAAGAGUAAAGGGCGCAUAGAACCGUUUGUGCGCCUGAUCCCAAAUUUACAAGCAGCUUUGAAAUGGAAAAUGCUGUAUUUUCUUUCUUUUUUUUUUGAGAGAGAGAGAUAGGUUGCACCCUAUCCGUUUCGUUUAUUUUAUUCAGAAAUAAAUUUAGCUGAAAAUGUGAAAAAAUUAGGAUUAGAAUUUGAGUCUCGGGUACCAACAAUCAAGUCCUUUGCCACUUGCUUUAGAUACGAUCGAUAAAAAUGCUGUAUUUUCGAAACAACAAUUGCCAUGCUAAGAAUUUAAAAUGGAAAAAUCUAGUUGUACACCCAAAAGUGGGUGUACAUUUUACUUUUCAUUUAUUCAUAAAUAAAAAUUAUUCAUCAGUCACAUCAUGUAACUAAUAAAAAAAAAUCACCAUUCGAUGGGAUGGGAUGGGUGUAAAUUUUAUACCCAUUUUAGAUUAAUUACACAUAAUUCUAUAUAAAUAUAGUAAAUUAUAAAUAUAUUUUUAUAAAAUUUAAUUUUCUUAUGUUAUUCUACAUAAAUCUUAAUAUUUUUAAAUAUGGUUCUGUCGUUAGGAUCUGUAAGAAAAAAUUUAGUUAACCAUAAGUGAAAUACUUAAUCUUGGUUAAUUAAUGAGGUAAAUUGAUAUUUUUAUCUCUUUUAUAAUAUAUUUUCUCCUCUCAAUCAAAAUCCUAACAAUGAAAACUCUUUUUUUUCUUCUUUCUCUUCUUCUCUCUCCUUCGUGCUAGUUUUCAAUUCGUAACUAGAAUUUCUCCGUCCAUAUUCAUCCGUAAUGUAUGUUGUUUUGCUCGUGUCGAACACGUGUUGUUUUUUCAUAUAAUUUUCUCUAUAAUUUUUUCUUAUUUUGCUCAAAAGAAAAGAUUUAAAAAAAAACAGUGAGAGAAAAGGUUACAAUAAUGGUGGAUUGGAUUAAAUUUUAAAAAGAAAAAAAGAUGACCUUUGAAAAUUUUUUGAAAGGACAUUCUACACGAUUAUAGCAGUUGGGGUUUUUUGAGAGACAUAUUCGUGAUGCCAAAAUUGACAUUUUACUAUCUGUUAUUAAAAAAUAAACAGUUCUCUAACAGUAACAAAUCAGAAGGACAAUAUGACUAUCACGAGACUUUGUAAGAAUAACAUAAGAAACUUGAACUGUUUAUGAAUAUUUACAAUUUGCUAUAUUUAUAGAGAGCUAUAUGCAAUUAACUCUAAAAUAAAAUAAAAAAUUUGUUGCAUAUAUACAGUAUCAAAAAAUAUAUAUAAUUUAUACAUGGAGAACAUCACAAAUUAAAUAUACGUUUGCACUUAUAUACUAAUUAAAAAUUUGUUGCAUAGUUUUAUAAUGUACGUGCACGAAAUACAAUUAAUAUAACAUAACAAGAGUAGCUCUAACUGAGAAUAUAAUUUGUCACACUAUCAUUGCUAUAGUACAUUGUGGAUAAUUUUUUAGAUGAAAGAGGUUUCACAAACUUAGGAUUCAAGAAACAAAAAUUGCAACACUAAUGACUAAUGAAAGUAGUAAUAACUAUAAUUACUAUCAUAACUACAUUAUACUCACCAUUAAUGACUAGUUAUAUAUUGCACGUACUGCAUAGGAAUUAUUUAAAACUACCAAGUAACCCGUACGAUGCAUGGAUCUUAAUUUUAUAUUUUUUAUUAUCUUCUUCCUCUUCCUCUUCCUCUUCAUCUCUUUCCUUCAUACUAGUUUCAAAUCCAUCUCCAUUAAUCCAUGAUCGGUGUUGCUUUGCCCAUAUCAAACAUAUUGCUUUUUCAUUCAAUUUUAUCUAUAAUUUUAUUUUUGCUCAAAAUAAAAUAUUUAAAAGAAAAUGAGUGAGAAAAAAAAUUGCAACAAUGAUGGAAUGGAUUGGAUUCUAAAAAGAAAGAAGAUAAGGAAGGAGAUAACUAUUAAAUUUUUUUUGGGGGGAUAUUUAUGCGUGAUUAUAACUGUUGUGCCUUUUACAGAAAUAUAUUUGUGAUGGUAAAAAUAUUAUUUCACUUGCUAUUAAAAAACAAACAGUGCUUUAACAGUAAUAAAUCAGAAAGACAUAUAUAAAAAUAUCAUGACUUUUGUAGGAACAACAUAUAAAAGUUGAAUUUUAUAAAAAAUUAUUUAUAAUUUAUUAUAUUGGGUUAAAUGCAUACAGGUCCCUACAAACAUAGUCAAUUGCAGAAAUAUCCCUGCAAAACGGAAACUCCAUAAGUUAUCCCUGCAAAAGUCUAAAGUUAUGCAGAUAUGUCCCUGCCGUUAAGGACUGUUAGAAAAUUUUCAUUAACCACGGUUAAAGUACUUAACCAUGGUUAUAUAUAAGGUAAAUUUACGAUCCUACCCUUCUUCUUCUUCCUCAUCUUCUUCUUCCCUCUUCUUCGUCGCCGGCGAGGGCGGCGGCGGCAGCGACGGCGGCGGCGACGGCGGCGACGGCGAACCCUCUCACUUUCUUUUCCUCCUUCUUCCUCUCCCUCUUCCCUUUUCUCCCUUCUUCUUCCUCUCCCUUUUCCUCUUCCCUCUUCUUCAUCGCCGGCGAGGGAGAAGAUGCGACGGCGGCGGCGAACCCUCUCCCUCUCCCUCUUCUUCUUCCUCUCCCUCUUUCUUUUCCUCUUCCUCUUCCUCUUCCCUCUUCUUCGUCGCCGGCGAGGGAGGAGAUGCGGCGGCGGCGCGCGGCGACGAACCCUUUCCCUCUUCAUCUUUCUCUUCCCUCUUCCUCUCCCUCUUCCUCUCCUUCUUCCUCUUCCCUUUUUUUCUUCCUCUCAUUCUUUCUCUUCCCUCUUCUUUGUCGCCGGCGAGCUCGACCUGCGCCGUCGCCGCCAUCCGCUCCGGCGGCCCGAAGAGGAAGAGGAAGAGAAAGAAAGGGGGAAGAUGCUUUUGGAGGGAUAUAUUUGUGAGGGCAAAAUGGUCAUUUCACAUGAAAACUGUUAAAAAAUAAACAGUUCUCUAACAAAUGUUAAUCAGAGGGACAUAUCUGCAUAAAUUAGGACUUUUGCAGGGACAGCUUAUGGAGUUUCCGUUUUGCAGGGAUAUUUCCACAAUUCACUAUGUUUGCAGGGACGUGUAUGCAAAUAACCCUAUUAUAUUUACAGGAAUCUAUAUGAAAUUAACCAUAAAAAAAACACGUGGGUGGAUAUUGGAACUGUCGUGAGUUUAAUAAGAGUUCGAGUUUUGCAACGAUCCGACCUGCUAGCAACAAUAACUCGUUGGGCCCAAACAUCGAUCAAUACAAUAUAUGAAAGCUUAAUUUUUAAAGCUUAAUUUUUAAUUUUAUAAAAAAUUUUGUCCCACUAAAUUCGUUGGUGUAACAAUUUGUCCCGCAUAGCACUUAGCUCUCACACUUCCGGCUGAUAUUCGGCUCUAAUAUCACAAUUGCAACGACCUGACCCACAAGCUACAAUAACUCGUUGGGCCAAAACUACCGGCCCAAAAUACUUAAGCCUAAUUAUUAUUACUAGCGUGUAGGUCUCAUAUAAACUGAUCGAAAUCAGUAUCCCAUCUGAUGUGGGACUAUUGGGAUGUUACAAGUUUCAAAUAAAAAGACUAUAUGUAGCAACAAUGAAAAUGCAUAAUAGAUGAGUACAUAAUAUUUAUCCAUGGUUGGUAAUUUAUCCAUGAUCAGAAUUACCAAUAAUCUAUUACUCUAUAUGAAUUCCCAAUAAUUUUGCCACGUGGCAAGUUUUUCUCCACCCUCACUAAUUUUUUUUUGAAUUGAUUUUUAUUCUUGGCUUUUCCACUCCCCUCCUCUCUAUUCAAUGACAUGUAAUCAAUGUGUUUUUUAAUUUAUACGUUUCCUCUUCAAAAUUACUUUUUUUGAAUUGAUUCUUACUCUUGGCUUUUCUCCUCCCCUCCUUUCUAUUCAAUGAUAUAUAAUCAAUGUGCUUUUUAAUUUAUACAUUUUCUCUUCACAAUUAGUCCUUUUUUCUCCCACAAACAAUUCCUAACAUGCAAAAUUAGAAAAGAGGAAGAUGAAUAGUUACUAUUUUCAGAUCUAGAGAUUGGGGAAGAGUAAGAGAGUCUUCCAAGCUCUAAUCUGUGUCAAUCCGACUCGACCCGAACCCCCCUCCGAGUCAAAAAGUGUUUAUAGAGUUUUUAUCAAUGUCGAUCUCUUCGGAUUUAUGGAAAAAGAAGGUAAUCGAACGGUUUUUCAAUAGAGAAAGCUAAUUGGAGAGCAAUAAUGGACGGUUCGAGGGGUAGGUUUGAAAAACGAAAAUCCUAAACCUAAUUUUUCUUUUCUUUAUUUUAAUCUCGAAUUCUUACUACGUAUUCAUUUAGAAUUUAAUUUAUUUGCAUUAUUUUUGAUAUGGUGAUUGUAUCAAUUAAGGAUUUGAUUUAUAUGCAUUAUUUUGAUUAAUUUAGAGGUUAUUUUUUAUUUCAUAAUUGAUGUGGCAGUUUUGACCCGCAACUUUUGAUCAUUCCAUACUCAAAAUGGUGCAAAAUUCUACAAAUUUUUAUUAGAUUUUCAUCGUCAUCAUCGUCACCAUCGCAACAUUAUUAUCUCCAUCUUCAUACGACCUUUGUAGGUUUUUUUUUUGAAUGUUGAUUCUGGACAGUUAUCGAUUUUCAGUAGCCAUAUUGGUUAGUUCAAUUCAUACGUUUUCCUACCCAAAAAAUAAAACACACUUGAAUUUUUUUUCUAUUAUUUAUCCGCGGCAUCGCGCGGGUUACUGUACUAGUAAAUAUUAUCAUCCUAAGUUUGUAAAAAUUAUUAAAAAGUGCCUUUUUUCCAUAUUAGAUUAUCAUAAUAAUAUUGAUACGAAUUCCUCAUCUUGAUAUGUUAUUGUAGAGCUAACUUCAGUAACAUAAUUUUAACAAGAAAAAUGCAAAAUGUACAUCAUAUAUAUAUAUAUAUAUAUAUUAUAUUAUAUAUAUAUAAUAUGUAAAUCUUACACAAGUCUAAAUGUUCACAAAAUUUUAUUAAACUUUGAUUAUUUUUUUUAUAAGAUUAGUAAAUUAAACCUAUCCUCAAGAAGAAUAUACACUUUAAGAUUUGUACGGAUAAUAUAAGUAUACCGGUAAUAUUGCUCUUUGAACAAAAGUUAAUAAAAAAAUACGGAAAUUGUGUAGGUAGGGGUAGUUGAAAAGGGUCGUAGCAACAUGAGACUUUACCUAACACUGCUACUGAUGUUGCUUGGUGAGCAAGGAGUACAUGCAUAAUAAGCCCACAUUAAACUGUCCUUUUGUGCUGUAACUUUUUAUUAAAAAAGACUCCCAAGUCCCAACAUCUAUCUAUGCCAAUAUAUGAAAGCUUAAGUUUUAAUUGUGAUAUGGAAAUCUCUUCUUAUUCUGGGCUAAGUGGGACCCAUUUUCAACCAAAAUCAUACACACACACACACACACAUAUAUAUAUAUAUAUAUAGAGUCCGACUGCUAUGCUAUCGAUAGCACCAAGUAGUUGGUACUAUCAAAUUUUCUGCCGUUAAAUUAACCCCUUUAAUUAUUUUUACCCGUUAGAUUAACCCCUUUAGUGCUAUCAAGUAGUUGCUGCUAUUAAUAAUCCAGCAUAGUUCUCUCUCUCUCUCUCUCUCUAUAUAUAUAUAUAUAGAGUUUUGCUAGAAUACUAUAGGUAGUAAACGGCUUGGUUAACUACCGAUUUGUUUUCGAUGAUAGAGCUUCCAAAUAGAUGAUCGGCACCGUUAAACAUGAUCUAAACUAUUUAAACUAUCUGAAAAUUAAAUUUUACACAUUUUCGAUAUUGUUCUCUUGUCCAUCAAGUGAACAGAAAAAUGAAUGGCUGGAAAUGAAUAUCGUUCAAAAAAUGAUGAUACAAUUUUUAUAAUUGAGAUCUAGAGCUUAUUUUAAAUAGUUUAAAGAAUUUUUUAACAAAAAUUUAGUUGAUUUGAACUCUUCUAUACCGUUAAACGAGCAAACGCACAAUAUCGUCCAUUAAAAUUAUAGAUUUUGUGACCCUUUGAUCAUUCAGUUAGUGAUGUCAAAAAAUCAUGAAAUUUGAUUUCUAGAUAAUUUAAAUAGUCUAAAUCAUGUUCAACGGUACCGAUCGUCGAUUUGGAAGCUCUAUCAUAAAAAAUAAAUCGGUAGUAAACCGAGCAGUUUACUAUCGAUAGUAAUCCAGUCAAACUCUAUAUAUAUAAGGGCGCAAAUAAUAAUUUCUAAUUUUGAACUGCAUCUAUAACAUUACACUCUUUUCCAACGGUAUAGAAGAAAUUAACUUCUCUUUUUUUUUUUAUGUUUUCUUUUUUACAAAUAAGCCUUUCCUUAGAGUUAGAGUUCACCCAAGUAUUGAUCUGGAACAGUAAUGCCUUGUGCAUUUCAAGCUCAGAAUUCUCAGGAAAGAAAAUAAAAAUCAUCUAAGUUCUUUUGGUAAUAUGUUAAUUUACUUUGGAAAAAACAAUGUUUACGGUAUAACAAAAAAACGCAUAUUUUGACCUUCAAAAGAAGAAGCUGUAGAUUGAAACUAUUGUUGAUGUAUCUAGAAUUAAAUGUAUUAAUAAUUGUUUCUCCAAACAAUACGAUUUAGUAACACUUUAUCAAACAAUAUUGUACUCUACAAUUAAGUGCCGUUAGAUAAUGUGCUAUUUGCUAUCCAACGUUUAAAUACUAUUAUUAAAAGAGACCCCACAUUUAUAUAUAAAAUCUACCUUUUCUUCUCCGGCCAAGGAUUUUGGUGUUUAUUAACAUAAGUCGUAUCUAUCGUGUCGUAUCGUGCUAAUAAGAUAUCAGUAUAAUACAGCCUNUUUGAGAGAUAGAUAGCACGUUAUCCGCUUCGUUUAUUACAUUUAGAAAUAAACUUAGCUAGAAAUGUAAAUUAACUAGGAUUCGAACUUGGGUUUCGAAUACCAACCACCAAGCCUUUUGCCAAUUGCUCUAGGGAUGGUUGGUGUAUAUGCGCAUAUUUCACUCAGAAGAUGUUUCAAUCUCAAUCACAUGGUUCGAAAGCAAAGAUUCUUUAAUGGCCACUCUAAACAGUAAUAAACACUGCCAUGGUUAUGUAUUUUGGAAUGUAACACAAAAUAUUAUCUAGCUUGAUAAUAAAUUUUCGAUCCGUAAACAAACUUAUAUAUAUAUAGUCAUGGUUCUCUAUUAAUAACUCUAAUGAUAGUAUUCCUCCAAAUCGACAAUCGGUACCAUUGAAAAUGAUCUAUACUACUUGAAGUAUCUAGAAAUCAAAUUUCAUACUUUUUCGAAAUUGUUCUCUUGUUCAUCAAGUGGGCGUAAAUUAAAAUGAACGACUGAAAAUGAAUAUUCUCUAAAAAAUGAUGAUAGGAAUUUUGUAAUCGAGAUCGAGAGUAUAGAUCUUGUUUUAAAUAGUUUAAAGAAUUUUCUAACAAAAAUUUAAUUAAUUUGGAUAGCUUUACACCGUUAAACGAAAAAACGUCUCAUAUCGACCAUUAAAAUUACAAAUUUUGAAACGCUUUGAUCAUUAGGUCAAUGAUGUCGAAAUGAUUUGAAAUUUGAUUUCUAAAUAUUUCAAGUGAUAUAGAUCAUGUUCAACGGUGCCGAUCGCCGAUUUGAAGGCUCCAUCAUCGAAAACAAAUGGAUGGCAAUGGAGCCCGUUUGCUAUCGAUAGCAUUACAGUUCAACUAUAUAUUUAAAGAAUUAUGCUACUAUACUAUCUAUAGUACCGGAGCUUUGGUACUAUAGUUUUAUUUUCGAUCUUAGGGUGUUCAAAUUAAUGAUCCACACCGGUAAAUAUGAUCUAGGGUAUAUGAAGUUCUUAGGAAUAAAAUUUAAGUUUUUUUCGAUAUCGUUUACUUAGUAAAUAAAUUAUAUCAAAAUGGACCCUCNNNNNNNNNNNNNNNNNNNNNNNNNNNNNNNNNNNNNNNNNNNNNNNNNNNNNNNNNNNNNNNNNNNNNNNNNNNNNNNNNNNNNNNNNNNNNNNNNNNNNNNNNNNNNNNNNNNNNNNNNNNNNNNNNNNNNNNNNNNNNNNNNNNNNNNNNNNNNNNNNNNNNNNNNNNNNNNNNNNNNNNNNNNNNNNNNNNNNNNNNNNNNNNNNNNNNNNNNNNNNNNNNNNNNNNNNNNNNNNNNNNNNNNNNNNNNNNNNNNNNNNNNNNNNNNNNNNNNNNNNNNNNNNNNNNNNNNNNNNNNNNNNNNNNNNNNNNNNNNNNNNNNNNNNNNNNNNNNNNNNNNNNNNNNNNNNNNNNNNNNNNNNNNNNNNNNNNNNNNNNNNNNNNNNNNNNNNNNNNNNNNNNNNNNNNNNNNNNNNNNNNNNNNNNNNNNNNNNNNNNNNNNNNNNNNNNNNNNNNNNNNNNNNNNNNNNNNNNNNNNNNNNNNNNNNNNNNNNNNNNNNNNNNNNNNNNNNNNNNNNNNNNNNNNNNNNNNNNNNNNNNNNNNNNNNNNNNNNNNNNNNNNNNNNNNNNNNNNNNNNNNNNNNNNNNNNNNNNNNNNNNNNNNNNNNNNNNNNNNNNNNNNNNNNNNNNNNNNNNNNNNNNNNNNNNNNNNNNNNNNNNNNNNNNNNNNNNNNNNNNNNNNNNNNNNNNNNNNNNNNNNNNNNNNNNNNNNNNNNNNNNNNNNNNNNNNNNNNNNNNNNNNNNNNNNNNNNNNNNNNNNNNNNNNNNNNNNNNNNNNNNNNNNNNNNNNNNNNNNNNNNNNNNNNNNNNNNNNNNNNNNNNNNNNNNNNNNNNNNNNNNNNNNNNNNNNNNNNNNNNNNNNNNNNNNNNNNNNNNNNNNNNNNNNNNNNNNNNNNNNNNNNNNNNNNNNNNNNNNNNNNNNNNNNNNNNNNNNNNNNNNNNNNNNNNNNNNNNNNNNNNNNNNNNNNNNNNNNNNNNNNNNNNNNNNNNNNNNNNNNNNNNNNNNNNNNNNNNNNNNNNNNNNNNNNNNNNNNNNNNNNNNNNNNNNNNNNNNNNNNNNNNNNNNNNNNNNNNNNNNNNNNNNNNNNNNNNNNNNNNNNNNNNNNNNNNNNNNNNNNNNNNNNNNNNNNNNNNNNNNNNNNNNNNNNNNNNNNNNNNNNNNNNNNNNNNNNNNNNNNNNNNNNNNNNNNNNNNNNNNNNNNNNNNNNNNNNNNNNNNNNNNNNNNNNNNNNNNNNNNNNNNNNNNNNNNNNNNNNNNNNNNNNNNNNNNNNNNNNNNNNNNNNNNNNNNNNNNNNNNNNNNNNNNNNNNNNNNNNNNNNNNNNNNNNNNNNNNNNNNNNNNNNNNNNNNNNNNNNNNNNNNNNNNNNNNNNNNNNNNNNNNNNNNNNNNNNNNNNNNNNNNNNNNNNNNNNNNNNNNNNNNNNNNNNNNNNNNNNNNNNNNNNNNNNNNNNNNNNNNNNNNNNNNNNNNNNNNNNNNNNNNNNNNNNNNNNNNNNNNNNNNNNNNNNNNNNNNNNNNNNNNNNNNNNNNNNNNNNNNNNNNNNNNNNNNNNNNNNNNNNNNNNNNNNNNNNNNNNNNNNNNNNNNNNNNNNNNNNNNNNNNNNNNNNNNNNNNNNNNNNNNNNNNNNNNNNNNNNNNNNNNNNNNNNNNNNNNNNNNNNNNNNNNNNNNNNNNNNNNNNNNNNNNNNNNNNNNNNNNNNNNNNNNNNNNNNNNNNNNNNNNNNNNNNNNNNNNNNNNNNNNNNNNNNNNNNNNNNNNACUUUAUCACUUUAGUAUCCUGUGGUUUAAAGUGUAUCAAGUUAGUACCCUGUGGUUUUGCACUUUAUCACUUUAGUACCCUGUGGUUUCACACUUUAUCACUUUAGUACCCUGUGAUUUAAAAAACCACAGGGUACUAACUUGAUACAAAUUAAAACCACAGGGUACUAAAGUGAUAAAGUACAAAACCACAGGGUACUAACUUGAUACACUUUAAACCACAGGGUACUAAAGUGAUAAAGUGAGAAACCACAGGGUACUAACUUGAUACAUUUUAAACCACAGGGUACUAAAGUGAAAAAAAUUGAAACCACAAGGGGGGUUUUUGAAGUUUUUUCUAAUAAUAAUAAGGGUACGUCUGCUUGAAAUUAUUAUAAAGUAUAAUUAUAUAUUAUGGUAUACGCUUUGUAAACUCUAGUAUUACUACAAUAAGCAAAUUCAAAGAUCUAAAGAUUUGAGCUCUUUCUAUAUAUUAAUUUACAAUAAAUUCGUAGUAUUUUUGGAAUAUUUUUGUUAUUUUUGAUACCCCAAAAAACAUCCAAAAAUUCUCCUGUAAAUAUAAACACUGUUUCAUAUAAUACAACAAAAAUACUUCAAUAAUAUUACAAAAUUACAUAGCAUUAUAAUAGGUCCUAACUAUAGAGGGUACUAUAUUUUUUUGUAUGAUAAAAUUACUCGCAUAUAGAAUUGUAGACCGAGGACUAUUUCCAAUCACGUACGCUUGAUUCUAAGUAAGAUUAAAUUUGCUCGAUCCAACCAGAAAAUUUUACAGUUAUUUUAGGUCAAGACCUUGUCCAAAUAAUCGACCAGGCUCAACCGGCCCAAGUUCGACGAUAACAAAAAAAAAAAAAAAAAAUCACAAAAUGCGUCAAACCAACCAAAUAAUCUAAAAACUUGGAUUCUACCAAAAUUUUAUCAGCCUCUAUUGGGCUAAAAUUUGCUUAGGUCUACUUGCAUGCACGAAUUUGAUGAUGAUAUUGGAAUAUCUUAAAGCAGUUAUUAUUAUUAUUAUUAUUAUAUAUUAAAAAAAAAAUCUUAUACUACCACGUUUUGUCAUAGCCCUCGAUAACACCAUCCCAUUCAACGUGUGACAUAUGAACUUUUUCACGCCUUGCAAAGUACGUAGUUUGAUUAAUACCGAAGAAAAAACGGCGUAAAAAAAUGGUUUUUAUUUUUUAGGAUCUAGCUAUGUUUUGUUAACUUGUUGGAGUUAACCAUUGACAACUAACACUACGAUAUACUACGGCAUUGGAAGGAGACAAAUCACUUCGACGCUAUAACAUGCCCUUGAAUUUAAAACUAUACAUAUAUAUAUAUAUAUAUAUAUAUAUAUAUGCUCCACAACAGCAACAACAACAACAACAACAAUAAUAAUAAUAAUAAUAAUUAUUAUUAUUAUUAUUAUAAUCAUAAUCUUAUGUUACUAUGUUGCUGUUGAUUGAACUCAGUUGUUUGCGAACAAAUCAUAUUUAACUUGAAACUUGGCUUGAUUAAAGAAUAAAAAAAAUAGAGUUGAGCUUAAGAUAAUCCAAGCAAAUUUGUGCUCAGCUUUGUUAGGUUCAAGGAGGAAAUAUUUGUCGGUACCAGUUUAUUCUAGUUCGUGCGGAAAAGACGAUACUUGAUGAUGUACUAUGCUGAAUAUUGAGUUUAGUUAUGUAACAUAUGGUAAAUUAAGCUCAAAGAGAUGACGGUUGUUUUAUAUAACUUAACACUGAUUCAGCUAUUAUAUUACGAAAUGAUUUGUCUCGUGCUCGGCUUGAUUAUGCUAGGUCAGGUUUGGUUUUACCUUAGUUUGCUUGUGUCUGACUCGUUUAGACUCGUAUUCAUGAGAGAAGACACCGCUGUUUUUCCGUCGCCCGGCCCAUCUUGCUUGGUCCAAAUGGCUAGAUUUAGCCAUUUGGUUCGAGCCAAACAUACUAAGGCCCAAAAUUAGACACAAUUUGAUUCGGCUUUUCCUCGAGUCUAGUCUCGGCGAAAAAUAAAAAUACCUUGUGACUUUUGGGGGCUUGCAAAGGCAUACUAUAAGGUUGGACUACUUCAACAUGUAAAAAUGAGCUAAUUUAAAUAAUGUUAAAUUAGCUUUUUUUUUUUUUUCUUUUUUACUGAUCGUUCUUAGAGCAAAUGACAAAGAGUUUGAUGGUUGGUACCCGAGGUCCUAAAUUCGAAUCCUAGUUGAUUCACAUUUUCAGCUAAAUUUAUUUCUAAAUAAAAUAGAUGAAGCGGAUAGCGUGCUGCCUAUCUCUAAAAAAAAAAAAAAAAAUUUGGGUUAGAAACAAAUAAGCUGGAGUAAUACAAUAAUAAGGCAAAUAGGAACUAGUGCGGAUAAGAUAAAACCCGAAUUAAUCGUACCAAGGCGAUAAGGUUUUUUUCUUCUUAAAUUAGAUUAACACAACGACAAAGCAUGGACAAGGUCAACAAAUAAAAUUAGUCAAUUUUGAAAUAGUUAAAGCUACCAUUCUUUUUAUUUUUUCGAAAAAAUUAGAGUCACACAAUGACAAGGCAAACAUUAAGAAAAUAUCGAUUUUCUUUGUAAUUGCUUAAACAAUACCAUUCAUAUCUACUAAAUCCAAUGAACUCGGAAACAAUUCUAAGAAAUAAUGAACUGAUAAAUUAUAUCACCUUACAUCUGUCCGCUGAUCAAUAUCUUAUACAAGUUCAAAGUUUAAGAUUUAAUUCGAUAAGUGUGAUAUAGAACAUCUAAAAUAUUUACGUAGGAAUCAAGUAGUAUCAAAAAUCGAUUAUGUUGAAAGAGAUAUCGUACGACUCAUAAGAGAUUAGUUAGCAUCCAAAAAUUGUAACUUUUUAUGUACAAGCCUUUGUUUAUGAGUAUUUUUUUAUAGCAUUUGGUUUUUUAAUACACAAAAUGGGGAAAAAGUCUACAUCUUAACGGACAAAUUUUGUGGGUGCCCAUCUCGACCGUCCUUUCUCUCAUCUGUAUCUUUCUGUCUCUUUCUAAAAAUUCAGGGCCCACAAUUUUUUGUUUUCAUUUCCGAGGGUCGCAAUGGGCGCUUGUACAUUACGCGGUGUCCAUCAUCGUCCCCAAAUAAGUUGUUUGGAAAUGAUGUCUAUAAAAUUUGUGUCUGUCGUCAUUAUUAAGAGUGAAUCUCGAGGCUCCUUUGGAACAAUUAAGAUUUGCUAUUGCAUGUUGAAAUAAUUAUAAGAAAUUCUUAUAAUUUUAAUACUAAUUUAUUAUUCAGUAGUUUUUCGUUGAGAUUGAGUUAUUAUCUAAGUAUAAAAAUUUGUCACUUUAUAAAAAAAAAGUAAUUAAUGAAUGGUGCUGUACAAACGCGUCCGCAUACGAGCGCAUAGUAUAUAACCAAUCGAAUUCUAAAUUUCUGCGACCGCGCGGGCCCCACCACAUUUCCAACAUUAUUCCGGUGCCACACACAUUUGAAUCAACCCAUUAUUAUUUUAUUAUUAUUAUUAUUAUUAAUCCAAUAAAUUACACCCCUGAACCUUUAUACAAAGCUCAUUAGAGUCUCCUCUUCGUUUUCCUCCUCUUCCUCUUUUACCCGAUCAUUCCCGUCCCUGAAACCCUAGAUCCUUCCCCCCCGAUUCCUAGGGUUUUCUUUCUAACACUUCGACGAUGUCCCUUUCUCCUCGUCCUACUCCAUUAUAGCGUCUCCGUCUCCCUCCUCUCCGGCGGCCGCGGAGAUGGAUCGCUCCGCCGCAUCCGGAGCCGACGCCGCGGCGGAGACCGCCUUGUUGGAGGACUUCGGCCAGAGGGUCGACCUCACGCGGCGGAUCCGCGAGGUGCUGGUCAACUACCCCGAGGGCACCACCGUGCUCAAGGAGCUCAUCCAGAACGCGGACGACGCCGGCGCCACUAGGGUUUGCCUCUGCCUCGACCGCCGCAAGCACGGCGCUGAGUCCCUCCUCUCGCCGAAGCUCGCUCAGUGGCAGGGCCCCGCGCUCGUCGCCUACAACGACGCCGGCUUCACCGACGACGACUUCGUCAGCAUAUCGCGGAUCGGGGAUAGCAAGAAGCAGUCGCAGGCGUGGAAGACGGGGCGUUUCGGGUGAGUCCCUUGAUGCACUUCUCCCAUUUAACUUCUCUGCUUUAGGAAAUGGUUUAAAUUAAAUUAAUUGAUGCGGCCAUGGUUUCCUCCUCAAGAACUUCAGGGUUUGGCUUGUUUAAAAUCAAAUUGCAAACUUAAUUUUGUGACUACUUUUACAUUGCAGGAACAUUUUAAUGAUUGCGUGGAUAAUGGAAGAUAAAGUUGGUUAUAGCACUGUUAUAAGGCUUGGUUGGAAUGGUAGCUUUGGGUUUAUCUUAGAAAAUUUACUUUUUUGUUUUAUUGAGAAUUAGCGGGAUUACUCAAGUUAUUCCGAUGUUCAACCAAACAGUGACUCCUAGGUGCUUUGUGGAGUUUGUGAGCCUCGUCGUUCUGUUUGAAAGAGAAGAAAUUUGACCCACUCUCAUGUUUCAAGAGAACAUUUAACAUAGUUUAGACCGGAUUUGAAUGUGAAGGCAUUAAUUGUAUGCACUUAUCCAUAGAUGUACAUUUUGGUAGUUUAGACAAUAAGGUUGCUAUUUUUCUAUUAGUUCUAGAUCCAAAUUCAAAUUCCAACCUGUUGAUCAAUUAAACCCAUGUUAACAACAAAUAAUUGGUUCCUGUUCAGGUCAUUGUGUUCACAUAUUGCCCCCCCUAGUUACUUCAGAAGCAAGCAGAUACUAUUUUAGCUAUUUCAUAGGUUUUGAGUGGCUUGGACCAUCAACAUAUAGAAACUGUUGUGACUAUUUUGUUGGUUUUGUUCAGCGUGAUCUAAUCUGAAAUUCUUUGCUUUUGUUACUUCUCCUUUCAUAAGGACUCUAUGUUGUGUUAUUUUCUUAUGUUUCCUCUUCUUCUGGUAUAUAUAUUUUUUCAGUUAAAAACACUCCUUUAUUCGUGAAAAGAUAAUUUGAUUUUGCUCAUAAAACAAGUAUUGUUGAUUACUGGGUUUCGGAGGACUUAGUAAGAUUGUUGAAUCUACAUAUGCUACACUUGAUUUCUUGCAUCUAGUAUAUGUCUUUGACUAUUUAGUAUUGUUCUGCCUAUCAUGACUGUUUUCUCUUUUCUUCUGAAUUUGCUAUAUAGGGUUGGUUUUAACUCGGUGUACCACCUGACAGACUUGCCAUCUUUUGUAAGCGGCAAAUAUAUUGUCUUAUUUGAUCCCCAAGGUGCAUACCUUCCCAAUGUUUCUGCUUCAAAUCCGGGGAAACGCCUCGACUUUGUUAACUCUUCAGCUAUUACACUAUAUAGAGAUCAGUUUUUGCCGUAUUGUGCUUUUGGGUGUAACAUGACAGCCCCUUUUUCGGGCACUUUAUUUCGUUUCCCUUUGAGGAGUGCAAAUCAGGCGGCUGUUAGUAGGCUUUCCAGGCAAACAUACUUGGAAGAUGAUAUUCUUUUGCUGUUUUCACAGCUUUAUGAAGAAGCUGUGUUUUCUAUGCUCUUUCUUAAAAGCAUACUCUCAGUUGAAAUGUAUAUAUGGGACGUUGGUAUGAAUGAGCCACGGAAGUUGUACUCUUGCUCUGUCAAGUCACCAAAUGAGAAUACAGUCUGGCAUCGUCAGGCACUUGUUAGGUUCUCUAAUUCUGCUGAAUCUUUAAACUGGCAAACUGAUCCCUUUUCAUUAGAUUUCCUAAGUGAAGCAUCCUUUGGGUCAAAUGUUGAAAAAAGAAUCUGCACAUUCUUCAUAGUACAGGGGAUGGCAUCAGCAUCUAGUAAAAUUGGUUCCUUUGCUUCUGCUGCAGCUAAAGAUCAUGAUCUCCACUUAUUGCCCUGGGCAUCUGUUGCAGCUUGUAUAUCUGAUGGCGAGCCUGAGGUACUGUACACUUACUUUAAAUAGAGAUGUUAUUUGUAUUGCAUCAUAUGUUUUAUGCCAUAGAUGCAAGACCUUACAUUGGAAAGAACAAUGCCAUUCUCUUGAUAAGCAUCAUUUGCUGUCGUAUUCCACGAGUGCAAACUAGAUGUGGAAUGCUCAUAGCAAACUAGAUAAGGAAUUCUGUUUCUUGAUUAUAUGCCUUCCCAAGUGCAAGUGAUUUUUAGUGUUUUUGUUGCAAAUGAAGAUCAACCACGGUAACAGGUGACUUUUAUCUUUUAUCAGAUAGGUUAGUUGAUUUUUCUUUUUCCUUUUCUUUAACUUCGACCAUUAAAGUUGCAUCUGGUUUGGUGUAAUUAAACCUCUUGUGAACAACUCUUUUGUUUUUACCUGUUUGUUCACUUGCAGUAACUUUUACUACAGAACCUGAAAAUUUUCCCUGCUGCAUGAUCCUUUCCACUGUUCAGUCAAUUAUAUAUUAGUUCGCAAAAAAAUCUUUACUAAGUUGUCGAACUAUUCUAAUGCCAUAUUAUUAUGUAUUUCUUUUGAGUUCAUGGUCAGUUUUUUUCCCCAAUAAUUCUUAUUUCUAUUGAAAAUUAAUCUAUGUUGAACUGCCUUGUGGUAAACUGGGUUUUGCAGGGUGCUGUUCUUAAGGAAGGCCAUGCUUUUUGUUUCCUUCCAUUGCCCGUAAAAACAGGAUUGGCUGUGCAAGUGAAUGGUUAUUUCGAAGUUUCUUCCAAUCGGCGAAACAUUUGGUAUGGAGCUGACAUGGACAGGGGUGGAAAACUUCGUUCUGACUGGAAUAGGCUGUUAUUAGAAGAUGCGAUCGCUCCAGCGUUUAUUGAGUUGCUAUUGGGUUUGAGGACGCUAUUGGGGCCCAAUAAACUAUACUAUUCUGUAUGGCCAAGUGGUUCAUUUGAGGAGCCUUGGAGCAUUUUGGUUGAGCAGAUCUACCAAAUUAUUUAUUUAUCGCCUGUUUUAUAUUCUGAUAUUGGAGGCGGAAGGUGGAUAUCACCAUCUGAAGCAUUUAUUCAUGAUGAGGUGUUUUCUGGAAGUAAAGAUCUUUGUGAGGCCCUUAUAUUGUUAGGGAUGCCUGUUGCUUGUCUGCCUAAUGCUAUUUUUGAUAUGUUUUCCAAAUAUAAUAGGAGUACUAGCCUCAGACUAAUUAAUCCUGCUACAGUAAGACAUUUCCUCAAGGGGUGCCAAACUUUGGCAGCAUUAAACAAAUCUUGUAAGCUAGUUUUGUUGGAAUAUUGUCUUAGCGAUUUGGAUGAUGUUGUUGUUGGUAGAUACUUAAAUGGCCUUCCUUUGCUUCCAUUAGCAAAUAAUCAAUUUGGAGUGUUUUCUGAGGUUUCACAGGGAAAUUUUUAUUUCAUCUGCAAUGAACUUGAAUACAAGCUUUUGAGUGCAGUCCCCGACAGAAUAAUCGACCCAAACAUUCCUUCUAAAUUACUAAGUAAACUCUCUGAUGUUGCCCAUUUCUCUAAGGCAAACAUUGCAUUAGUUGAUGGUCAGAUUUUCCUCCAGUUCUUCCCCAGGCUCUUCCCUGCUGAAUGGAAAUAUAAAAAUCAAGUUGAUUGGAAUCCAGAGUUGGGCAGUACAUUUCCAACAACAGCUUGGUUUGAACUUUUUUGGAAGUAUCUGCGAGAACGCUCUUAUGAUCUUGAGUUAUUCAGUGACUGGCCUCUAUUGCCAUCUACUUCAGGGCACCUUCACAGACCUUCCAAAUUAUCUAAGCUGAUUAAUGCAGAAUUAUUAUCUAGCACGAUAGAAGAGCUGCUAGCAAAGAUAGGAUGCAAAAUAUUAAGUACACAGUAUGGAGUUGAGCAUCAGCAAUUGUCCCUCUAUGUAUAUGAUGGUGAUGUUGCUGGUGUUAUUCAUUCAAUUUUUGAGGCUGUUUCUUCAAGUGGUAAUCCCUUGCACUCUCUUUUUCAAUAUAUUGCUCCUGAUGAGAAAAAUGAACUCCGCCAAUUUCUGCUGGAUCCGAAGUGGUACUUGAGAGGCUCUCUUUCUGAUGAUGACAUGAAGAACUGCAAGAAGUUACCUAUUUAUAGGGUUUAUGCUGAAGGGGAUGUCAAUAUUUGUUACUUUUCUGAUUUGGAUACUUUCAAGUUGUACUUGCCACCAUUAGGCAUGCCUGAAUACUUAUUAGAUGGCGAUUUUAUUUUCUGUUCAUCCCAAAGUGAGGAGGAAAUUUUAAUGAGAUAUUUGAAAAUCGAGCGCAUGAAAAGGUCUUCUUUCUACAAGAAGAGUGUUCUUAACAGAGUUGGUGAACUGCAACCAGAAAUUCGUGACGCAGUAAUGUUAACCGUACUGCGAGAGUUGCCUCAGUUAUGCUUGGAGGAUCCACUGUUUAAAGAAUCUUUAAGAGUGCUUAAUUUUGUUCCAACUAUCACUGGCAGCUUGAGGAGUCCUCAAUCUCUCUAUGAUCCUCGUGUGGAAGAACUUUAUGUUCUUCUGCAGGAAUCGGAUUGUUUCCCUUGUGGAUUAUUUCAAGAAUCGGAUGUUCUCGACAUGUUGCUUAGCCUAGGGCUUAGGACAUCAGUACAUCUUGAUACUGUAAUUCAAAGUGCACGCCAGAUUGAAAUGCUGAUGCACAAAGAUCAGUCGAAAGCUAAUUUAAGGGGUAAGGUGCUGCUUGCUUACCUCGAAGUUCAUGCCAACAAAUGGGUUUCUAAUAGACCGAGAGAUGGUCAAAGAAAGGCGAAUGUGAUGUUUGCUAAAGUUACCAUGGCACUACGGACUCGUGACAUUCCUUUAGAAGCUGACCUUGAGAAAUUCUGGAGUAACCUCAGAAUGAUAUGCUGGUGCCCUGUGCUAGUUUCUCCACCUCAUCCUGCUUUGCCAUGGCCUGCAGUUUCAUCAAAGGUGGCCCCACCUAAGCAAGUAAGACUACAUUCAGAUAUGUGGCUUGUUUCUGCUAGCUCGCGUAUUCUUGAUGGUGAUUGCUCUUCUUCUGCCUUGUCAUAUAGCUUGGGCUGGUCAUUUCCUCCAGCUGGAAGUGUAAUUGCCGCUCAACUGCUUGAGCUUGGGAAAAACAAUGAGAUUGUGACAGACCAGGUGCUUCGGCAAGAAUUGGCUCUAGCUAUGCCAAAGAUAUACUCUCUAUUGACAAAUUUGAUUGGUUCAGAUGAGAUGGAUAUUGUGAAGGCUGUCCUUGAAGGGUGCAGAUGGAUUUGGGUGGGAGAUGGAUUUGCAACAGCAGAAGAGGUGGUUCUCACUGGGCACCUCCAUUUGGCUCCUUACAUACGCGUUAUUCCUGUCGAUCUAGCAGUGUUCAGAGAGUUGUUCUUAGAGCUCAGCAUAAAAGAAUAUUUGAAGCCAGCAGAUUAUGCUAAUAUUCUUUCUCGCAUUGCCAUGAGAAAAGGAUCCGCUCCACUUGAUGGUGAAGAACUAAGAACAUCUGUUUUAAUAGUGCAGCAUCUUUCUGACUUCCAGUUUGAGGAUUCACGCGCACAAAUUUAUCUGCCAGACGCCUUAUCCCGACUAUGCCGAUCAACUGACCUUGUCUUCAAUGAUGCUCCGUGGCUACUUGAUUUUGGAGAGAGCACAUAUACAAAGAAGGAUGUUUAUAAUUUUGUACAUGGCCACAUUUCAAAUGAUGUUGCGGAGAAACUAGGCGUACGCUCUCUUCGCCGCCUGCUGCUUGCCGAGAGCUCUGACUCAAUGAACUUGAGUUUGUCUGGUGUUGCUGAAGCCUUUGGACAGCAUGAGGCCUUGACAACUAGACUCAAACACAUUGUUGAAAUGUAUGCAGAUGGCCCAGGGAUUCUUUUUGAGCUCGUACAAAAUGCAGAGGAUGCACAUGCUUCUGAGGUUAUCUUUUUGUUGGACAAAACUCAAUAUGGUACAUCAUCCAUUCUUUCCCCCGAAAUGGCCGAGUGGCAGGGGCCUGCUCUUUACUGCUUUAAUGACUCUGUUUUCAGCUCGCAAGAUCUUUAUGCAAUCUCACGCAUAGGUCAGGACAGCAAGCUCGAAAAACCUUUUGCUAUUGGCCGGUUUGGUCUUGGCUUCAAUUGCGUAUAUCACUUCACGGACAUCCCAGGUUUUGUUUCUGGGGAAAACAUUGUAAUCUUCGAUCCACAUGCCUGUUAUUUGCCGGGAAUAUCUCCUUCUCAUCCAGGCUUGAGGAUAAGAUUUGUUGGGCGGAGGAUCUUAGAACAAUUCCCUGACCAAUUUAGUCCUUUCCUACAAUUUGGCUGUGACCUCCAACAAGCUUUUCCAGGUACCCUGUUUCGGUUCCCUCUCAGGAAUGAAGCUGCCGCUAAUAGAAGUCAAAUAAAGAAGGAGAAAUAUGCACCUGAAGAUGUGGAGUUGCUCUUUUCUUCCUUUUCUGAAGUUGUAUCAGAGGCAUUACUUUUCCUCCGUAAUGUUCAAAAAGUAACAUUAUACGUGAAGGAGGGAUCUGGUCAUGAGAUGCAACUCAUGCACUGUGCGUCAAGGCGCCAUGCUGGUGUGAUCACAAAGGAAUCUCAUGCACAUCAAGCUAUGCUUGAUUUUAUUCGUGGAAGUCGGCAGAAUGGAAUGGAUAGGGCUCAGUUCUUGAACAGAUUGAAUAAGACCUUAGAUAGCGAGUUGCCGUGGAAUUGCCAGAAGGUUGCGAUUGUCGAAGAAACGCCAAUGGCCAGCAUGUUGCAUUCUUGGAUUAUUAGCGACUGUAUUGGUGGUGGACAAGCUAAACGACGAUCUAUAGUAAUGGGUAAUAAGUCACAUAAUUUUGUACCCUGGGCUUGUGUUGCAGCCUACCUGCACUCCGCAUAUAUAAAGGAUGUAAAGGAGCUGGGUGAAACAUUUAGUAGUUCUGGUGAAAUUGUUGAUACCGAUGCAUCUCUAAAAUACCAAGCUCCUAGGAAAAAGUUUGAGGGGCGGGCCUUCUGCUUCCUACCUCUACCAAUUACUACUAGCCUUCCAGCACAUGUUAAUGCAUAUUUCGAAUUGUCGUCAAAUCGAAGAGAUAUCUGGUUCGGAAAUGAUAUGGCUGGUGGUGGGAAAGCACGAUCUGAGUGGAACACUUGCCUGCUUGAAGAUGUUGCUGCUCCUGCUUAUGCUCACCUCCUAUCUGUCAUGGCUGAAGAGAUUGGCCCUUCCGAUCUCUUCUUCUCAUUUUGGCCCACCACUGUAGGUGCUGAACCAUGGGCUUCUAUGGUGCGAAAGCUCUAUAUGUGUAUCGCUGAUCUUGGGCUCCCUGUGCUAUACACAAAAGCUCGAGGCGGGCAAUGGAUCUCAACGAGGCAAGCUAUAUUUCCCGACUUCAGUUUCUCAAUGGCAGCAGAACUUUCAGAAGUUUUGGCUCAAGCUGGUUUGCCUAUCGUCUCUGUAUCAAAGCUCAUUGUUGAUAAGUUUAUGGAAACAUGCCCAUCCUUGCAUUUCCUAAAUCCCAGUCUGCUGAGGAAUUUGUUAAUUCGACGUAAACGUGGGUUUAAAAGCAAGGAAGCAGUCAUCUGUACGUUAGAAUACUGCUUAAGUGAUAUAAAAGAAUCUGGUUUUUCUGAUAAGCUGCAUGGAUUGCCAUUACUUCCUUUGGCAAAUGGAUCCUUAACGGUUAUUAAUAAGUGCGGGGAAGGUGAAAGAAUAUUUUUUACGUCCCAAAUGGAAUAUGAACUUCUCAAGGAUUCUGUUCCGCAUCUUCUCAUAGAUUGUUCUAUACCAGAUGGAAUUCUGAAGAAACUAUCCAACAUAGCAGAUUCUGCGCAGUCAAACAUACAGUUGUUCACUUGUUCAUGCCUUGUUGAUUUGCUCCCUAGGAUUCUGCCGCCUGAAUGGCAGCAAGCUAAGCAGGUUUCCUGGACUCCAGGUCAGCAAGGUCACCCAAGUCUGGAAUGGAUGAAGUUGCUUUGGAGCUAUUUACAAGAUUCCUGCAAGGACCUUUCCAUUCUUAGCAAAUGGCCUAUACUGCCGGUUGGGAAUGACUGCCUCUUGCAACUUGCUGAAAACUCUAAUGUAAUUAGGGAUGAUGGUUGGAGUGAAAACAUGUACUCAUUGUUACAGAAGCUGGGAGUUUUCUUCCUGAGAUCUGAUCUUCCAAUUGAUCACCCCCAGUUGAAGCAUUUUGUUCAGGAUUCGACGGCACCUGGUGUUUUGAAUGCAGUGUGGUCAGUGGCUUCUCAGCUGCAGGAUAUUAAGGAACUAUUUGCCAAUGCCUCAGUGGCAGAGAUGCAUGAACUUCGGAGUUUUAUUUUCCAGUCUAAAUGGUUUUCUGGUAAUCAAAUUGAUUCUUCACAUAUUAACUUGAUCAAGGUUCUUCCAAUAUUUAACUCUUACAAGAGUAGAGAGCUCGUUAGCUUGUCUGAUCCAACGAAAUGGCUUAAACCUGAAGGCAUGCGUGAGGAUCUCUUAAAUGAAAAUUUUGUUAGAACUGAAUCUGAAAAGGAAAAGAACAUUUUACGAUGCUUUUUUGAUAUAAGGGAGCCUACAAAAACCGAAUUUUACAAAGGUCACGUGCUUAACCAUAUGUCAGAGUUUCUUUCGCAGCCAACCAUUCUUUCAUCAAUAUUAUGUGAUGUGAAGCUUUUGAUAGAAGAAGAUGCUUCCAGAAAAGCUGCUCUAUCGGAAAUCCCAUUUGUUUUGGCAGCUAAUGGUUCUUGGCUACAUCCUUCCCGGUGUGUUUCUUAUUUUCUCACACUUUUUGUUGCUUGCUCUUUUUUAUAAUGUGUGAUUUACAGCUAUUAAAUGUUGAUUCAUUGACAAUUAUGUUUGUUUCUCCCCCUUUCUGUUAUUGUACUGAUUUACCUUCUGAUUGCCACCUCAUUCGCCUCAUUGUGAAUUGGAAUAUUUAAGCUGUCGAAAUCCUGCUCUUUUUGCUUGUGUUUCUUUUUUCAAAGACAACUUAUUUUUCAAAGUUUGCAAAUGGAAAGUUGAAAGUUGCUCCUUGCACUGUUUUCGCUAUAAAAUGAUGCUCAGUUUGUUGAUUGGUAUUUAUUCUGUUCUUCAUGGAUCCUAGUGUAGUUUUGAUGUUUCCUCAUCUGCUUUGCCAUCAGUAGCGAAACAAGUUUGGACCUUUUGGAUCCAAGUAUAGUUGCAACCUUAAGUCUGCAUGGUAUAAUUCAUCCAAUUUAAAAGUGUUAGAUUUAAUCAUCCAUCAUCAAGCUGGAAUAGGUCAACAUUCAUGAAAGUAAGGGUCCUGGUAUAUCCUAAUCAACAUAAAACGGUAUUCAUCUGUCAUGAUUAUCUUGUUGGUCUGGACUUCUCCAGCCAUAGUGAUAGCUUUAUUUUAGCAGCUAAUCUGAUUUUUCCCGCUGUUCACCUAACAUUUUUAAUAUAUGUUGUUGACGGAGAAUGUUUUCUUGAGUAAAUUGAGUGUUUGUAUCUUUUUCAGCCUUAGGCAAGUCUAUUGACUGUUUAAGCUGUAAAAAUAUAUUUUGUAUUUUUAGUUUUGUUUUUUCUUCGUUGAUUGGCUAUCAAAAUACUUACUACCAUUAUUUUCAUUUUGGGAAGUCUCUAGUGUACCUAGCAGACCACAGUUAUUGUUUAUUGCUAUUUGUUUUAUAUGCUACAGAGCUUCCCUGUGCUCAGAUUUCGGUUACUCUCUGGUUACUUCCUUUUAAGAACUCUUUAUCUCCAGGCUCUAUGAUCCUCGUGUACCUGAAUUGCGAAGUUUGCUGCACAAAGAACUCUUCUUCCCUUCUGAGAAGUUCAUCGAUGCUGAAAUUCUAGAAUCACUGACAAGUAUGGGGCUCAAAAGGUCCUUGAGUUUUAGUUGUUUACUAGAUAGUGCUAAAUCAGUUUCAAUGAUGCAUGCUUCAGGAGAUAGGGAUGCUUUUAUAUAUGGCCAGAGAUUACUUGUUUAUUUGGAUGCUCUUUCUUUUAAGCUCUCAACCCAUGGCAGACAAAGUAAUGAUGGAGCUGCUAGUUUAAUAAUAAGCAAUUAUGCUAUGGUAUAUGAUGACGAUCUGCAAGCAGAAAACAAUGAAGAUGAUAAUGGCAAUUGGGACGCAGAUGUGCUAUCUUUCCUUUCCCAUUUUGAACAUGAUCUAACCGAAGACGAGUUUUGGUUAGAGAUCAAAACUAUUUGUUGGUGCCCGGCGUAUGUUGCCCCAUUGGUCAAAGGACUUCCAUGGUUAGUAUCAGAAGAUAAAAUAGCACCUCCAAUAAUCACCAGACCUAAAUCCCAGAUGUGGCUAGUGUCGUCUAGAAUGCGUAUUCUUGAUGGCAAUUGCAAAUCUAUGUACCUCCAGCAAAAACUUGAUUGGUUAGAUCCCGCUGAUAUCAGAGUUUAUUCUGCACAAUUAAUUGAACUCUCAAAGUCCUAUAACAACCUCAAGACACAACCUGAACAAGACUGCCCCAUUGACGUCGUGUUGGAAAAAGAGAUCCCUUCAAUGUAUUCGAAAUUGCAAGAAUUUAUUGGUACCAACAAUUUCAAAUUUCUAAAAGAAGAUUUGGAUGGCGUUCCAUGGGUUUAUGUAGGCGACAACUUUGUUCCUCCAAAGGCACUUGCUUUUGACUCACCAGUGAAAUACCAUCCUUAUCUAUAUGUUGUUCCUUCUGAGUUGUCAGAAUUCAGAGCAUUACUUUCAGCAUUGGGUGUAAGAAUGACAUUUGAUGCUUCAGAUUAUCUUAAUGUACUGCAAUGUUUGCAGCGUGACGUGAAAGGAGAGCUGCUAUCUGCUGACCAAUUAACUUUUGUUCACUGCGUACUGGAAGCUUUUGUUGACAGUUAUGCUGGAAAGCAAGUUCCUGAUUUAAUGUUGAAAUCACUGUUAAUUCCUGAUUCUUUAGGAGUUCUAAUGCCUGCUUUGAAUCUUGUUUAUAAUGAUGCCCCAUGGAUGAAAGAUAGCAGUCCAGGUUCGAAACAUUUUGUACACUCAAGUAUCAGUGAUGAUCUAGCUAAAAGGCUCGGAGUACAAUCUCUUGGUGGUUUGACUUUAGUUGAGGAUGAACUGAUGAGGGAUUUACCAUGCAUGAAUUAUCCUAAAAUAUGUGAACUGCUAGCUUUGUAUGGGGAGAGUGAUCUUGUUCUGUUUGAUCUUCUAGAAUUGGCUGAUUUCUGCAAUGCAAAGAAAGUACACCUGAUCUAUGACAAACGAGAGCAUCCCCGACAAUCUUUACUCCAACAGAAUCUAGGUAAUUUUUGCUGUUUGCUUACUCUGUUGAAGAUUACGUUGAAUCAUGCUUCCACUAAACAAUGCAGCAACCUUAUAAUUUUGUCAUGAUUUUUUAGAGCUUUUUGAGCUAAUUGGCACCUAAUUUGCUUUAACUUUUGUAAUUCUGAUUUCUUCAGGUGACUUCCAAGGUUCUUCUUUGACAGUGGUAUUUGAAGGAGUGACGCUAAGCCAGGAAGAAGUAUGUAACCUCCAGCUUCCUCCCCCUUGGAAAGUUCAGGGCAGUGUUCUAAAUUAUGGCUUGGGACUUAUCAGCAGUUACUUUGUAUGUGAUGUUUUGACUGUUCUUUCGGGCGGUUACUUCUACAUCUUUGAUCCAUUGGGUUUGACUCUUGGUGCACCCUCUAGUGGUGUCCCUUCUGCAAGAUUAUUCUCUUUAUCAGGUUUCUUUUUGCUGUUAUUCUUUUGUUAGAACUUAGAAGUCUGAUGUUGUUCAUGUGGUCCAAACAUGUUUGACUAUUUUAUCUUAAAAGUACUAAACAGGCAACACCAUUUAUCUCUUCCAUCUGUAAGAUGAAAAAUAAAACUUACUGCAAAUUGUUGAUUUGCAGGCACCAAUUUGGUUGAGAGAUUUCGUGAUCAAUUCUAUCCAAUGCUUGUAACGAAGGAAAUAUCUCUGUCAUCAUCUAACUCUACAGUUAUACGCAUGCCUUUGUCAUCAAAGUGCUUGAAAGAACUUGAAACAGUUUCUAAGAGGGUAAAGCAGAUCUUUGAUCGAUUUAUGCAGCAUUCAUCUUCAACGCUUCUGUUUUUAAAGUCAAUCUUGCAGGUACCCACAUGCAAAACACAUGCCUUUGUUGCUUUUGGAUUUAAACUUGGCUUUAUAUAGUUGUAUCUCGACAAUUUUCUUCAGUCAACAUAUCCGACUGAGUCAAUCCGUUUGUUUCUCCCAACUUUGUAUACUUCAUUGUAAUAUCCAUGCACUGCCAUUCCUCAGGUUAGUUGCUAAUACAAAUAAUUUUUUGACGUCUUUUAAACUCUUCUGGAAAUUCAGGUUUCUUUAUCAACAUGGGAGGAGGGGAACUCCCAGCCUUCUUUGAACUAUUCUGUGUUUAUUGACCCAACAUUUGCUAUUUUGAGGAACCCAUUCUCCGAGAAGAAAUGGAGGAAGUUUCAAAUAUCAAGAUUAUUUACGGGUUCAAAUGCAGGCAUCAAAAUGCAUGCAAUAGACGUGAGUGUAAUUGAGAGCGGAAGCAGUUACAUAGACAAAUGGCUUGUUGUGCUUUGCCUGGGAUCUGGGCAAACUCGAAACAUGGCUCUUGAUAGGUAUAUUCUUUUGAUAUUAUGUAAGGGAAUUUGGAAAGCUCUUUUAGAUUACGAAUGCACUCCAUACUUCAAUUUGUCAUUGCUCACGUGGUUAGAUACUAGGGUAACAUAUAUGUAUAGUCCCUGUACUAUCCCUAUAUUGUGACAUGACUCGGUCCCUGAGGUUUUCUCUUUCACAUUUCAGUCCCUUUUCUUGUAUAGUGCAAUUAAAUUCCUGGCAAAGUCGUAUAGUGCAAUUACAUUCCUGGCUGUCAAAAAAAAAAGUCCAUGUACUGUUGUUCUUAAAUGAUCUUUUAAACCUUUUUUUCCAUUAAAUUGCAAUAGAGAGGUGAUUUUAUAGUAGUGAUGAAAUGGUCUUAAAAGGAAGAAGAAAUCUCCUUUUAUGAUGGUCAGGGAUGAAAGUGUGAUAUGUACGAAAGUUCAUGGACUAAUGUAAUGAAAAUAUCAGGAUCAAGCAGUAUCAGGUUACUGUAGGAUUUUCUAUAUAUUUUAUCCUAUGUAUCAUGACUAAGUUUAUAGCAAGUUACAGCUGCCAUUUAAAAAUCAUUGACUCACAUUGGGAAAUUUAACUUCUUUUCCCUCAUGAUAAUGCUCAUUUUAUAUUUUUUAAAUUUCAGGCGAUAUCUUGCUUAUAACUUGACACCUGUUGCUGGAGUGGCAGCUCAUGUAUCUCGUAAUGGAAGCCCUCUAAGUGUGCAGUCUUCAAGCUGCAUAUUGUCACCUCUUCCUCUCUCUGGAUCUGUAAGUAUGCCAGUCACAGCUCUUGGGUAUUUCCUUGUAAGCCACAAUGGUGGCCGCUACAUUUUUACUCAUGAUGAGACAACUUCGCCGGAAUUACACAUCGAUUCUACAAAGCAACUAGUUGAAGCAUGGAACAAGGAACUGAUGCUAUGCAUACGGGAUUCAUAUGUUGAGCUGGUAUUGGAAUUUCAAAAGCUUAGAAAGGACCCCGGGGCCUCUGCUGUAGAAUCAAAGUCCGCCCAUUCUUUAAGUUCUGUUUUGCAGGCAUAUGGUGACAGAAUAUACUCAUUUUGGCCAAGAUCUAGACAGCAGCCAACUUUAUCUGAUAAUUUGUGCUUAUCGAAAGCAACCGAAGCAGACUGGGAAUCACUGAUCGAACAAGUUAUAAGGCCGUUUUAUAAACGCCUGGUCGACCUUCCUGUCUGGCAACUCUAUCGUGGAAAUCUUGUCAGAGUUGAUGAAGGCAUGUUCCUCUCACAACCCGGGAGUGAUGGAGUUAACUUGCCAUCGGCUAGUGUUUGUAGUUUCAUCAAGGAACAUUAUCCUGUUUUUUCUGUACCAUGGGAAUUGGUUGGAGAAAUUCGAGCAGCAGGAAUUAAAGUAAGGGAAAUCCAGCCUAAGAUGGUCCGUGAUCUACUGAGAGCUUCUUCUUCUGUUAUACUUCGAUCUAUCGAUACAUACAUCGACGUUCUAGAUUAUUGUUUCUCUGAUAUCCAUCCAACCCAGCCAGCCAAUCUCAGACCAGUUGAGAAUAUGAGUAAGUCUGUAACUGAAAUGCAGCCUUCUUCAAGUUCGAGCAUGCUCCAUUCGCACCAUACAGUUUCACAGAGCACAGGUACUCCUGGAGGUGAUGCCCUGGAAAUAAUGACUUAUUUCGGCAAGGCUUUAUAUGAUUUUGGCCGUGGAGUUGUUGAAGAUAUUAGCAAAGCAGGAGGCCCUAUAGCUCAUGCAACUAGUAGCGCAGGUAGCAGCAAUUUACAUGCUGAUCGGUUAUUGUCAUCACUAAUUGCUGAAUUUAAAGGUGUUCCAUUUCCAACUGCAACAAAGUGUCUAAUAAGGUUGGGGACAACUGAACUUUGGAUUGGAAACAAGGAGCAGCAGCUAGUCAUGCACCCAUUAGCUGAUAAAUUUAUCCAUCAUCAGUGUUUAGAGAAACCCAUCUUGGCUGCAGUACUCUCAUAUCCAGCUAUUCAUCGGCCUUUGAUGUUGAGGCACUUUUCCCCACACUUGCUAUCGGGCCAUUUAAGGGUUCUUUUUCAUGAGCAUUGGGUAAAACUCGUAGAAACUAGUCGGGCUCCUUGGAUUUCGUGGGGUAACAGUACAGAAUCAUCCUCUUAUGGACCUACUCCUGAAUGGAUAAGGAGUUUCUGGAAAAUUUACGAGUCUUUACAGGGUGACCUUUCACUUCUAUCAGACUGGCCUCUAGUUCCUGCUUACUUGAAUGGGCCAGUUUUGUGUCGUGUAAAAGUGCGCCACCUAGUAUUUGUUCCACCUGUUACUGAUUUAACUCUUGAGAAUAGUGGAGAGUUUGGCCUGGCAAGUAACAAUAUUUCGGAAACUGAGCUAGAAAAGUUGCAUCAUGUUGCAUUUAAUUUCACAAACUCCAGACAUCCAUGGUUAUUUCCUCUACUUAAUCAGUUUAAUAUACCCUUAUAUGAUAUAUCCUACCCAGAACUUGAUGUACUUUGCAAGUUUGUUCCUGCUCGCAGUCAGACGAUUGGGCAUGCAAUUGUGUUUAAAUUACUUGCUGCCAAAAGAGCAGGUUAUCUGUCUGUGCCAGUUCAGUUAUCAGAUGAAGAUCGUGAUAGGCUGUUUUCUCUAUUUGAAAUGGAUUUCAAUGCGCCCACCCAGCAUGUGUACCAGAGAGAAGAGCUAAAUGUGUUGAGAGAACUCCCAAUAUACAAAACAGUCCUGGGCACCUACACAAGUUUAUAUGGCUCUGAUCAUUGGCUCGUUUCCCCUACUGCAUUCUUCCAUCCUAAUGAUGAACGAUGUCUUUCCAGUUCAGCGGAAGCAAGUUCAUUUUAUCAUGCUUUAGGAGUUGAACAGUUGAGUGAUCAAGAAUUGUUAGUCAGGUUUGCCUUGCCCUUCUUUGAAAACAAAACCCCACAAGAACAGGAUGAUAUACUAUUGUACUUGUAUACGAAUUGGAACAAUCUACAACUGAAUUCUGCGGUGCUGACUAUCUUGAAGGAGACAAACUUCAUAAAGAAUGCGAAUGAGCUUUCAACUGAGUUAUUUAAACCAAAGGAUUUACUCGAUCCUUAUGAUUCUCUUCUUACAUCAGUAUUCUCUGGGGAAAAAAGCAAGUUUCCAGGUGAGAGGUUUGUAACAGAUGGAUGGCUUCGCAUACUGAAGAAAGCAGGCCUUCGUACGUCCUCGGAAGCUGAUAUGAUAAUAGAAUGUGCAAAGAAAGUAGAGGCCAUGGGCAUUGAUGCUAUGACCUGUGUCGAAGAGCCUGACGAGUUUGAGGGAGACUUUUCGAGUAGCAGAAAUGAAAUCUCUUUCGAGAUAUGGACAUUAGGAGAAUCUAUUGUUAAUUCCAUAUUCUCAAAUUUCGCUACUCUUUUUGACAGUGCCUUCUGUGAAAAGAUUGGAAAAAUUGCAUUUGUACCUGCUGAAAAAGGUUUUCCUAGUAUUGGUGGUAAGAAAGGGGGUAAAAGGUUUCUCUCUUCCUAUAGAGAUGCUAUCUUGCUAAAGGACUGGCCGUUGGCCUGGAGCUCUGCUCCUAUUCUUACUAAACAGAGUGUCGUUCCUCCUGAAUAUUCUUGGGCUGCAUUUCGGCUUCGAAGUCCUCCAGCCUUUUCUACAGUCCUGAAGCAUCUACAGGUUAGGAUAUUUAGUAUGUUCUUCCUCUUUUGGUCACUCAUGUUCAUGUUCUUUAUGGAAUGUCAUGACAGAUUGUUGGAAGAGAUAAUGGUGAAGAUACGCUUGCUCACUGGCCAACUUCAUCAGGGAUGAUAACAGUUGAAAAUGCUUUCCUAGAGAUUCUCCAGUACUUAGAGAAAACAUGGGGAACACUAUCUUCUUCAGGUUAGGAAAUGCAUAUUACGUUACACUUUGUUCUUGCCGGUUGUAUUAAGUAAAAUCUUAAUUGUUAGUUUGAAGAAACAGCUUUAAUCUAGAAAAUUUGAAAACAUGUUCACUUGUGAUGUUAUUAGAAUAAACUUUAUGUGCAUACUUUGGCAGAUAAAACCGAAUUGGAGAAGUUGGCAUUUGUACCUGUUGCAAAUGGUACUCGCUUGGUCUCAGUAAAGUCUCUUUUUGCUCGCCUAACUAUAAACAUGUCACCUUUUGCCUUUGAACUUCCGAGCCCAUAUCUUCCAUUUAUCAACAUCCUCAGGGAGCUGGAAAUGCAAGAAAAUCUUACUGUUUCCUAUGCAAGGGAUUUUCUUCUGAGUAUCCAAAAAGCAUGUGGUUACCAGCGGUUAAACCCAAAUGAACUCCGUGCAGUGAUGGAAAUUUUGAAUUUCAUAUGUUGUUCUGGUACUACACAGGCAAUAACAGAUGAAUCGGACAUCAUUGCUGAUACGAUAAUCCCGGAUGAUGGAUGCAGGCUUGUCUCAGCAAGAUCAUGUGUGUAUAUUGAUCCAUAUGGGUCUCAGAUUCUCAGUUUUAUAGAUACAUCUGCAUUACGAUUUGCUCACCCGGAGCUUCCUGAAAGUAUACGCACAUUCUUGGGCAUCAAGAAGCUUUCUGACAUCAUUGUCGAGGUAUUUCCUAUUGGACACGUGAUGCUAUACUUGUAUGAAUGUCUAGUGAAAUCCAUUGCCUAUCCUUGAACUUUAUUCAUAAACUUGAAUUUCUUUCUAAAAAUGAGCAUCACGAAUGUUCUUUUGCAGGAAUUAGAUGAAGAACUGGAACUACAAUUUGUGGACCAUGUUGCAUCCGUACCACUGAGCAAGAUAAAAGAAAAGCUUUUAAGCAAAUCAUUACACAAUGCAGUUUGGAUCUUACUAAAUGGCAUAAACAAUCAUUUCCCUUCAUUUCAAGGCCUUACUUUGUUUGAAACGCAAAACUUGCUGCAAGACAUGGCAGAAAAGCUCCAAUUCGUUCAACACCUCUACACUCGGUUUCUCCUGCUCCCCAAGCUUAAGGAUAUUACAAGGGUGGUUAACAAUUCCGCUUUUCCUGAGUGGGGAGGCAAUGGACAAAAGCAUCAAAGUAUUCAUUUUGUAAACAAAUCGAAAACCCGUAUUUUAGUUGCAGAGCCACCGAGUUUUCUGACAGUAUAUGAUAGCUUAGCAAGUGCUGUUAGCCACAUCCUGGGUGCACCAGUAACAUUACCCAUUGGGCCACUUUUGGUCUGUCCGGAUGGUUCAGAGAAAGAAGCCCUAAAAAUACUUAAGAUAGGGCCUGAAAUUGGAUCUUCUAAAAAGGGAGGAAAGUACAAUGUUUCAUUGGGAAAGGAGUUACUGCCUCAGGAUGCUCUUCGGGUGCAAUUUCUUCCUUUACGACCAUUUUAUUCUGGGGAAAUUGUAGCAUGGAAAACAGGAAAAGAGGGGGAGAAACUGAGGUACGGCAGGGUUCCAGAGGAUGUGAGGCCAUCAGAGGGCCAAGCACUAUACAGGCUCUCGGUGGAAACAGCACCUGGUGAAACCUUAAUGCUGCUUUCUUCUCAAGUUUUCUCAUUUCGAAGUGUUUCGAUGGCUGACGUUUCUUUUGUGCCCGACCAACCUGAGAGUAGUGAGAGAGGAGCAGGAAAUACGAGGUCCGGCCUUACAUUGGCAAAUACCAGGAGUGCGGAAGUCACGAACCACGUAAGUUCCAAUAUUUUUAUUUGAAUUUGAUAAUAUACACCCUACCCGAACUACAAUACCUUUCUAAAUGGGUACCUGAACUUUGGAAAUUUUGAUUUUUAGUACCUGUAUUUUCACUUAGUAUGAUUUCAGAUUAGUCAGGACUUAAAACAGUUUUAUAAAGUAACAGAGUAUUCCAUCAAGUGCAGAACAUUUUGUUAGGUUACACAAUGUGAUUAAAAAAGUUGCAAUGCCAUCUAGUUCUGAUGUAGAGGUAUUUAGAUCAAACAUAUCGUAACAAUAGGUACUUUGAACAAAUUUUCUGAAGUUCAGGGUCCCAUUUGGAAACGUGUUGUAGUUCAGAUGCCCAUUUGACAAUCAAAGGUAAAAAACCGAUAGAUUUUACCUAAACUGUUAGGUUUGUGUGUUUUUAAUUUUACAUUUUUAGACAUGGAUCUACAUUGUCAGAUGCUAAAAGCAUUUUCUUGCUGCUAGAAUGAUAAGAUCCAGUAUGGAAAAGUUUCUGCAACAGAAGUGGUGCAAGCAGUUCAUGACAUGCUUUCAGCUGCUGGAGUCAAUCUUGAUGCCGAGAAGCAAAGCUUGCUCCAGACAACUCUGAGUCUGCAAGAGAAGCUUAAAGAAUCUCAAGUAGCCCUUUUGGUCGAACAGGUUUUUUCUUUUCUCUUCUUUUCUUCACUUCCCGCAUUAUUUAACCACAUGACAAGUAGGUUUUUCUAUUAGCAGCUUGAAUUGAAUCUCUAACCAUCAAAAUUUGGUACUAUUUCGGUAGUGUUUUACAAAGAUCAUGUUGCCUCGAGACUUGGAAGUAUUUCAAAAGGAAACCAUUUUUCUUUUUCUUCUUUGAAAAUCUAUAGGAUUGUUCAUUGAAGUUUAUUCGGAACAAAAUUUUGAAAGUACCUGCUUACCUGCAAAACACAUGAUUGUUGCAGGAAAAGGCUGAAGCAGCAGUUAAAGAAGCUGAUGGGGCAAAGGCGGCAUGGUUAUGCCGGGUCUGUCUGACUAACGAGGUCAAUAUCACUAUCAUUUCUUGCGGCCAUGUAUUGUGUAACAGAUGCUCAGCUUCCGUCUCGCGUUGCCCAUUCUGCCGCACCCAAGUUUCGAGAAUAAUGAAGAUUUUUAGGCCAUAAAAGCCACAUGAACCAUUCAUUUUUUGGGGUUAGAUUCUUCAACUCUAUGUUGAAGCAUCCUGAUCUUGCAAGAUACAGGUGAAGAUUGAUGCUAGUUAUAAAGACUGAUCUCUUUGAGUUGACGAAACCUACAUUCCUUGAUUCUGGAAGUUUGUACAGUUUUAAUGGGAAUUAUUAUACAACCUGUAAAGGUGUAAAAAUUCUUUCACAAGAAAAGGUGUAUAUAUGUCGGCAACAAGCUAUAAACUGAUACUUCCGCCCAGAUACUAAGUUUAGCAUUCUUUCCUGUGUACAAAGGUUUCGCUGUUAAACCAGAGAUGUGCUACGGGGGCCAUUAUUAUUAAUUGAUGUCAGUUUGCUUUCUUAAACAAAAUAUAUAUAAAUAUGAUUGGCAGGACUAGGAAGUGUGUUUUCUUCUCUUUUUUUUUUUUCUCGUGACCUUCUCUCUUUCAUGUGUAAGUUAUUAUUUGACUUUGGAUUAGUCGGUUCGAAGCUCACCACGCCCGUGGCAGAGGCUUCCACUCCUCACCAGUUCUAUGUUACUAUGCUCUUGCUAUGGUAUCGGAUAUAUCUUUUGUCGUAUGUACCUUCCUUUUAAGUCUAAAGAGUCGUUGCGAGUUAGAAAGCUACGCCAUAUCGGCCAUCUACCAAAGUAUGACACUAGCAAAGUCUUAUGUACUGUGGCUAGACAAGUCAUUGAUCCUCUAUUUUUGUUCUUUUUAAGGUGGUCUACAAAUUAUUCAAAAUUUAAUGGAAACAAUCCAUGAACUAAUGUAUCUUACCCAGAUCCAUAUCAACAAUGGGGUAUUUCCUUUUUUUUUUUUUUUUUUCAUAUCCACAAAAAAAAAGGGUAACAUAUCGGAGUUCUAUAGAUUGUAUAUGAGAAAAAAAAUAACAACAGGAUUUGUACACGAGCUGAUUUACAGGAAAAAGAAAAAAAGGAAUUAUAGACAAGUUGCAAAGAUAAGCACGUCCACUAUGUAGAAACAUUUCCACAUUUAUAUCUAAAUUUUGUAGCAUUGAAAAUUGAAUUACCAAUACUAUUAUAGAGUACUGAUAUGAAUAUGGUAAAUUCCACCCACUUUACCAGAACAAUCUACCUACAGACGCAAGUCUAUGCAGGAAGACGUUAUGACUUGAUAAAGGACAAGAACAGCUGCAGUAGCCGAAACAAAUCAAACAUAACAUAGAUUAGGGUUAUCAUUUACUAUCAUCAACAUCGUUAAAAAUUAAGGUUUUUUUUUUCAACAUUAGGUGGGGGAAAAACAGGGGCAACAUGAACAGUAUAUCUUGAGAUGGGAAUAAUCCAUACACAAUUUUCAGUUAAGGGUUUUCUGGAGCACGGAAUUUGAAGGCUUGGAAUGCCCAGCUUUAAUCCCUUUAGGCUUGGUAUCCAACAAGCACAAGUCCUCACCGUCAAUUACUUCUCAAUAAAGUAGCACUACAGUCUACAGAGUCAAUAUAAUAGCGCACUGUAGUCUACAGGACAAAUGAUCUAAAGAAUACAACAGAUAGUGACAUAAAAGGUGAGCGUAUGGGCUACUAGCUGCAGCUUCGUCAGGAAUUUGGAAGAUAUUAAGCAGUUGGGACGGUAUAACAUAAUAGUGUUAUAUCUUAGAUCUCUUUGAAACAAUAGGUGCAAAGAAAUGACUAAAUCAUCUUCUAAUAGAUGCAAGCAAUAUAGCUGAACUGCGACAUGCAUGUUUUGCUACAAAUAUGAACUUAUUGAGUGAAUGACCGAUUUGCACAAAUCGAAAUCAAAGUUUGGCCUGCGAUGCAAGUGCACUACAUUUCCGAAAACAGAAGGCCUACUCUUCCUCCGCUGUCUAAGAACUUAUGCAAGUGAAUGCCAAGUAUUUAAUCUAGAAAAAACACCUUCCUACUUCCUAUAGUAAGUCUUCAAAGUAAUAAGAUCGUAUAAACUGAACUGUACAUAUGUUAAUAGUAAUGUGAUAUUCGAAAGAAACCUAAACAUCAGUGGAAUUAUCUCUUAUGCCGAAAGCCAGAAAAAUGAAUCUCUCUUGGAAGUUCGGUUGUUAAAGUAAGAACUGCAUAUAUAAAUAUUAAACUUGACAUUAAAUAUAGGCUGCCUUAGGGCUAUAAAUGCAGGUAAUACAGAAGUUCCAUACACAAGAAAGCUAAAGCAUAUACUCUGUUUAGUUAGAUGGCAGCAACAGAUUCCAAACCCAGACAAAUUGUGGAAUAACGACAAAAUAGGUUAAUAGAACACAUAGAGAACUGCUGCCGCAUAUCUAGAAAUCAUAUUAAUAUGAUAAAUCAGAUAAAUUACACAAGCAACAAAAGGAUUAAACCUCAAAUGCUUAAUCAUCAUCUUUUGGACAGCAUAUAUUGCAAUAAAUUUAACAAGAAUAAGAAGCAGAAGGAAGUACUUAAGCAAAUAAGAACCAACCUCCCUAUGGCCUGACAUAUUUAAGCUUCAAAGAACUGUACCUGAGCCUCCAUGGUAGUUGAACAGGAUCAAAGUCUUAUUCCAUGACUCACAGUCUCUAGGAAUGCAUACUACAUGAGCUCUUAAAUUAUCCAGACAAGUCUUCUAACUGGAACCUACAACAGUUCAAACAUCAUAAGCAGUUCCAAAAGAGACUCAUACAACCAAAACAAAAAAACACAAAAUGCACUUAUUUGUGCUUGUGGAGUUUACUUGUAGGAACAAGAGAGAUAAGUGACUGUAUAGUAUGAGAAAGAAAACACCUGCCACAAUCAAAGUGUUGAUUUAACUUCUAAAAUAGGAAUAAAUUUUGUUCACAAACUGUUAGAAGCACAUGAAUUUAAAGAGUGUAUAGGAAUAACCUAUAAAGUGUACAGGCAAUCACAUAUUGUUCCAAGGGGCAGUUUAUGGCUCCAUGCAGCUGCAUAAGUGGAUGUGACCUAUUCAUGAUAUACUACACAUAUGGAUUGAGCAUCGUUCUUUAUUAAUACGUAUAAAAGUAUAAAUUAAUAAUUGCUGGUGUGACUAAAGCUCUUGCUGCAUUUACAAACUUCUACUGUAUUUGUUAAUUCUCGGAAAUUUAUAAUUGGUCGUUACUAGAUAAUUAAUUCAUUAGCUUGUUGAAACUAACCUUUCACAAACUAUAUGUGGCUAAAAGACUGAAUGCCAGAAGCAACUAUUAUAUGACUCUCAAUGUAUUAUUAGCAAACUAGACAUAAUUUCAAACUGAUUUCUCUUUUCGAGUGAAAAAGAACUGCUGAUCAUUAUACAUCCAUAUAUACCUCUUACGUUUUAUAUUCUGGAUAUACACUAUGAACCCCUUUGAUCAUAUUCGUACUUCAUAAACUUAGUAACAAGAAUUAAAGUGCCUAUCAGCACGGGCCGUAUCCACCGUGCCGUAUCGUACCAGCAAGAUAUCGGCACGAUAUAGCUCCGGUGCGGAUGGCACGAUUCAAAACUCUCUAUUCUUGAAAUUAGUAAGUAAUUUUUUCAAUAAAGUUCAAAAGAUUUGAUAAAAAUACAUAAUAAAUAAUUGACAUAUGUUGCUGCUAAAGAAAAUAUCUCAUGCCAUUACGUGACAGCACAUAUAUAUUUUUUGUGACGGACAUGCAUUGGCAUGGCCUGGCACGCAUGAUGCCGUACCGUGCUGGCAAGUUUCCAACACAAUCCCGUGCCACGGUACUUAAAUUCUUGCUUAGUAAGUUCUACCAAAUUAAAAUGGUAAAAACAGGGAUAUUUUCCGCCAAUCAAUCAGUUGAAGGCUGCAUCCUGUUCAAUAAGUUUAGAACUAUUAACUCUCAAACAGUAACUUCCCAAACUUGGAGUUAUAGAAAAAAUGACUGCAGGAAUUAUGUAUCUAAAUCAGCCAAAAAAAAAAAUCACAAAGUGACAAAAGAAAACUUGCUCCAUGAUUGGUCAAAUUCUUCCAGUCCUUAACCAUCUACAAUUACAUUUAGAAUGCCAAUAUAUAUUAAAAAAAAACAGAGUAUGCAUGACAAAAUAUGUACCAAGAUCUAUAAAAUGAGAAAGUAGCUAUAAUGGGAAGGGCAUCCAAAACAGAGUACACCCUGCAGUAUUCUUGGACCGACAUAGAAACUCUAGCAUAUGGAUGGUUUAUUUGCAACUCAAAAGUUCAAGAAAGUGUAAGAAAUAGUGAGUCACAAUUGCAGAAUGGAAAUACAAAAGGACCGCCAAGUGAACAGGGCUUAAUAAUAGUCAUCAAUGAUAUUCUGCAAGAUCCAAACCUAUUUGUCAGCACUCCUGUCAAUAACAUAGUUUUCUAUUACUAUAUUUUAUAUUAUCACCAGAAAGCAGAAAAUAUAUGCAUCUAUAAGUUGAUAGAUCGACAUUUUCAUUUUUCUCCUAGGUAAAUAUUAAGAAUAUCACCAGUUUCUCAAAGAAAUGACUCUACAACUGCAUAAUCCAAAAGGUAUUGAUAAAAAGUACCAUUGUUGACUAAAUGUCUCCUUUUUUCUUCCAUGAGCGAAACUUUGUUACAAAAGCAAAACAAAUAAGUCAAAUAUAGACAAGUAACGUCUUCAUAAAGAAGCCAAAAUUUCUACAGAAACAAAGUGGCUCAUUAGGAUUUCCACUUCUGUUAAGUAAACCAAAUUAAAUUACAUUAGAAAGACUGCUUCAUAAACUUUAAGAACUAUCACGCACACAAAAAAGUUUCAUUAGUAAAGCAGCAAAGUAGGAGAAAGGCAAUGCUUCCAAAGACUGUAAAGUUAUUAAGCUCAAAGUAGUCAUGGAAUCAAGAUUUCAAGGAAAAACCAAACAAGCAAAGUAAUAUUUCAGGUAAAAGACUUGCAUACUGAAGCAAAAGCUAAGUUUCUUUCCAUUGCUGUCAUUAUUAGUAAAAAAUAUAUAUACAUAGGAACAUAAAUAAAACAUAUUAACCAUGCUAGUUACUACUGAAGAUACUAAAUAGAAAAGAGAGAAAAAGAACUUAGAAAAGCAGGUUAAUUUGAGGCACUUGAAUAACUAGGUAAUAAAUUAUUUGUAUGGAAUGGUAUUUCAUGCAUUAAGCCCUAUUAUAGCCCAACGCUUUACGUUACAACAUAUUAGCAUGACUGAGAAUUAACGAACAACACACCUGCCAAGUAUUAACAAAAAAGGAAUAUAGAAGUCAUAUUCAGUGAUUGCAUCUGCUAACAGGUAGAGGAAUAAGUGUAAUAUAGACUACACAAAGCCAAAAAAAAGAAGAAGAUAGAACAUCGAAGUUACAAUGAUUGUGGCAUUGCAGAAUAAUUCAAUAUCUAGCAAGUAUGACUACACCUUGUUAUGAUAACUUCUGAGACAUAGUUAUUGACAACUUGAACCAUAUUGACAUCUAGAAACAUAGGUUUCCCCAGUCUUCUAAUGUGAAAGUUGACUUCCAACAGGCAAGACCAUAUUUCUCACAAGUUAACUCCCUGAGCAAAAACAAUUGGCCUCUAGAAAACGGCAGAUAAUAAAAGAAACAACAAUUACAAAUUUGGCCAGAAUAUUACAAGAAAUAUAAUUACUACAAUAGAAAAAAGUUACACAAGAUAUUAAUUGUUUGUGUCAGAACAAUUUAUCGGGGAAAACCCGUACAAUAUGGGGAUUUCUUUAUAUGACUGCAGCCUGGGAGCUUGAUUUUCAGCUAUUGUGAGAUCUUUUAGAAUAGCAAGUUUGCCUUCACGAGAUGAUUUACCCUACUUUGGAAAAAAAGAUUAUUUAAGCUGUAGGUUGUCAUACACUCCUUACAUACUCCCCAUCAAUCAAUCACCAUAUGUCCUGAGUAAAAAAAAGAGAUAUGCUGAAGAAACUACCUUAACAUGACCAUCUUGUGCUGCACAUCUCUCUUGUUUACUCAAGAGCUGGUUGCAAGUUAACAAUGACAUAGAAUAUGCGACCUUCAAGUCAUUUUCUUGGAAUAUUAUAAAUCACUUCAUAGGUGAAACCAUAUAUAACUUGCAAUGCCAUAGGUUAUCCUGAAAAAACAUAACCAUCACGACUUAGCAAUUGACUAACAAACAAACUUGUGGAUAGCAAUCAUAAAAGAAAAUCCCAAUAUGGCACAAGCUAUCACUAGAUAACUUGUUCUGACAUCCAAGCAAAACCUAAAUGAGUUUGGAAAUGAAAUCUGACAAAUGUAUCAGGCCAUCAGAUUGUUAUGUUCCUGUACUGCUCAAAAAGGAUCAUUGCUCAAUUUCUAUUGUAGUAUAAAUUCAAAAAGGAACCAAGGAACUAGCAAACUAAAGCACAAUCUCACGCCCACCAAAUUCACCUUAAAUAACUUAUUAGUUACUGCGCCGGCCAAACCAGCUAGCACAGAGCGGCAGGUAUUGUGCCAACUGCCAACAAAGUACUGGCACGAUAAACCCAUGUGCCUGGCUGCGGCAUAGCACAGAAACCCUCUUUUCCACUCUUUUUUUUCCCAAAAGAAAAGGAGCUUGAACUUUCUUUUCAAGCACUUCUGUACUAUGAUUUAUUCAUUUGGUUGAUUCAAUUUGUUGAAAUUGAAGGUAAAUUUGGGAAAAGAUUAAUUCCCCAAUUUGUUACCGACAGUUCCAAUGAAACCAAGUACUUCAAGUAAAAUUUAAUGAAAAUAUGACAACUAAUCAGUAGAACUGAAAAAUUUACCUACUGUAAGCACCAUUAGUUCAUGGGCAUUAUAUAUCAUAUUCAAUAAAGUUUGUUAACAUUCAGAUAAAUUCCACCAAUUUAAUAGAGAAGACUACAUAAAAACACAUUCAAAACUAAAAAAAAAAUGCAAAAUCCUGUUCCAAAAGUAACUGGCACAAAAGUAACAUGCCAGCGGCAAGCUGGAAUGUGCUGCCGUACGCGCUGCGCUGUAUGGACAUAGGAUGGCACACGCCUGUGCCACAGGCGAACAGCACAGCGAUUUUUUUCUUUUAAUGCAAACAAAUUAGCUGGUUGAUAUAUUCCGAUUAUACAUGCAGAGAAAUUAUUUUAUUGCUGAAGCUGUGAAAUCCCAAAAUGUACACUGAUCAACAUUCUCGAUAAACCAGCAAUAUCGCAAACAGAGUUCCUCUAGUUAGAAAAUAAACAAAAAAAACGCAGGAGAAACAGCAUUGUAUUCAACUCAAAUAUAGUCAGAAACUUGUGUUCUUUAGUACGUAAAUAAACUUGGCCUUACACAUAGCAGUGGUUGUCUGCUGUAUGUAGCUCUCAAGACAAAAUUACAAUUUACAAAGUCCUGGCAUGGCAGUAAGGCAGAUUGCAUCACCAUCCUCAACAGCAUUUGACCAUUAUAAAGUAUGUAUCAGGAAAGAAAGGAACACCUCCGUAUGUACCCAAAUCCAGCAUCCACACAUCCUAUGACUGAUCUGUAAAAGGGUGUCAGAGAUGCAUAAGUCCCCAUCAAUUUAGGAAGUUUAAGAUGCAAUGUUACAUCUGUGAUGAGAAAUAAGCUCAUUAGCUACUUUAGAAGGCUUCAAGGGGGUGCUAUUCAGAACAACACAAGGGUGCAUAUAUCGGCGGCAGCUUCUCAGAAUGAAAAGCCGAAGUACAGUACUGAAGCAUCAAGUUUACCAUAAUCAAAAUGGGUUUAACAAAAUCAAGCAGGUCUCCAACAAUUUAAAGCAGAUAUAUCUGGCCUGCCUGGUAACAUCUGGGGAUGAACAUGGCCUGGAAGAAUACCAAAAAGGAUUAAAAAUUAAAUAACAAGCAGAAUUAAAGGCCCUAUAUUCAAAAGAUAAAUAACCUGGAAGAGAUGCUGCAGAUGGCAUAGAAUUAUGCGACUGAAGUUGAUAAUUCAUAGAACCCGAAGAUGGCCUAUCCAUGUUAGGCCUCAAAUAUCCUGCAGGAAGAAUGCCCUCAAAAAAUCAGCAAUUAGUCAUUUAACAUAUUGGAAGUGGAGAUACCAAGCCUUUUCCAUUUCUGCAAAAAUGCCUCUUUAUGUGCAUGUGCAUAUCUCUAUAUAUGUACAAACAAUUUUCACAGACAACCCACAAUUCAAACAUACCAUCCUGCAAAUAGGGGGCUCCUGAGCAUGAUGGCACUCUCCCUCCCGCUAACCAAGGUUGAUUCUGAUUAUCUGGACUUACAUCAUGAGACAGCAGUCUCCACUGUUCAUCCGGAACAUGUUGCCUGUGACUGCUAGAAAAAUUUUGCAUGGUGUAAGGAUUAUAAGGCUUCUGUACAUUCUGUUGACCCAUGGAGUUCACAUGUGAGAAAUGAUAUGACGGUUGCUGGGCCGUGGGAUGGGAAUGAGAAGGAAGCGGUGCUUGUGAAGGUGGGAGGAUAUGGAAAGAUCCUUGAUGAAGGGGUUCAUUAUUAUGCUGAAAUUGCUGGUUAGGAUGAGAGUUCUGGGAUGUUAAAUAAACAUCGUUAUGUCCAUAGAUGGAUGGCCUUGAAGAAGUGAAGGUUGCUGUAUGGUGUGGGUUGCAUACUCCGCUUGCCAUAAAGUUGUUAGGCUGUGGUAGAAUCAUUUCAUUCUGGAAAGCAGAAUUAGCUAGCCCAGGCAUCGCAGUGUUUCCCGCUAGUUGUGCUACCUGGUUGCCCUGCAUUAUAAAAGAUAGGUGUUAGUAAAUCAUAUGGGCAACAGGCGCAAAACAAAUAAAGGCUUCUAUUCUUUUCUGAAAGUGAGAAGCAUAAAGACUUACAUUUGGAGUCCUGCAAUAUUCCUGCACAGAAGGGUGAUAAACCAGAGGCGGUGGGGAUGAAGGCGCAAGAGGUGGAGGUGGUGGGAGAGAUGGCAGAGGCGGUGGUGGAGGGGGUGGUGGAGAUGGUGAUAACGGUGGCAAGGGUGGUGGUGAUGAUGGCGGAGGAGGGGGGGAAGGAGGAGGAGAAGGAGGCAACGGCGGCGGUUGUGGUGGGGAAUCCAAUGGAAGGGGAGGAGGGCCCUCUGGUAGAGGGGGGAGCUCAAUCUGGUUGCUUAAUGGGGGUUGCAGAGUAUUGCUCAUGUUAUGCACAGACAAACCCCUCUCAUUUCUAGAUAAGGAAGAAGCAUCUUCCAUUUCCAUUUCAGCAUCUGAAUCCUCCAAUAGCGGACGACGUCUGUCGACCGGGGUAAUGGCACGACCAUUUUCUUGAUCUUCUGAACCACUACCACCUUCAACUGAUAAGAAAUUGCCCGUCGUCUUUAUAGCACUAGGAAGAUCUUCCUCGUCUUCGAAAACAUGUGAUGAUAAGAAUCCCGACAACUGGAAAGUAGCAUUGCUGAAAAGAAAGAUAUAAGAAUAUGAAUGUAAGAAUAAUCAAUAUCCUGCAUAAUGGAAAACCUAGCUUUAUCAAAGACAAUUUAAAUCAAUCACCAGCCCAACAUGCAAUCCCAAUAAAAAAAACAUCAUGCAAUAUUAUGGUGCCACAGGAUACUAUGUACAAACAUGAUGAUACAGAGAGAGGGUGCUUUUGGAACAACCAAUAGAAUUAUGCCACCUUUUUCUGAGCACCAUACCCACCUCGCGAUCUGUGAGCUCAGGGAUAUCCAUCAAAAUCUCUAUGCACAUCUAUGUAAAGCGACAUGGACUCUGUCUCUACAUACUUCAAAAGUUUAUGGUUGAUGGAUAGAUUGUUAAGCUCGUUCAAAAUAAUGCUAUCUUUUACCCCCAAGCUAUAAAGUAUGUUAUCAAAAUUUUAGGCUGUGAUUCUUUGAAGUUACUAAGUUCAUAUAAUCCAUUCUAAAACCAUAAAACUUGAAUUUAAGGAUUGAAUCUGUGAACUCACUCCAGGUUCAAAAUGGUUUCUGAUUAUUAAGCCAGCCAAUUGGUUUAGUCUCCAUAAAAUUACUAUAUAGGAUAAACUUCCUCAAUUACUUCGCCUAUCUUUCACUGGAGAAGAUAAGAAAAGGUACAGAAUUAGAUUUCUGGAAUUGUAUAUUCCAUUCUGUACAUAUCACCAAACAAACCAAGAGGAACUUCAAUCAUUUCUCUUACCAAAUUAUAUCCGUUGCUAAGAAGUCACUAGAAGAAAACACUGUAAGAACAUCCGUCACACAUGCAUCCAGGAGCAGAACAUGAUGAAGAAAUAAAGUAUCUAACAUUUAACAGAGUGACUAUAAAGGGACAACGACAUUGAAUAUACUACCUUCCAUAUUCAUCAACAAGCAUGCCCUCCAUUUCUCUAAUUGGAUCGUCCACGGAACGCUCAGCUCGAGAUGGACGCCUAAGAGAAAACCCGGCAUUUGCAUCAUCAUUUGGAACCUCAAUGUCAUCCAUAUAUCUUCGAAGAAGUGAUUCUGGCAGAAUCUUCCUCUCAAGCCAUAAUCUCAGAACCUAAAAAUAAUUUGCAAAACAUAAUUAUUUAACCGACAGGAUGCCUGUUACAAACUGAAAGUAAGAAAUAAAAAAAGGGAAAGAAGAUAGAACAAAAAAAAAGAUUAGAAAGAACUACUAUCACCUUGAGACACUGUCGGCGAUUCUCACGAGCACCAACUCCAGGCGGAGCAGCAGCACCUAAAAGACGAGGUAAUGCUGCUUGCACAGUAGGAAUGUACGAAGCCCCCGCAAUGCCUAAUCAUUUUUUUGUAAGGUAAUAAAUAUUUGAAGAGUACAGCAUAUAUAUCGGUCAGGAAGGACUGGGCAAGCAAUAUUUCAUAGUACAGCAUAUAUAUCGCUCUGGAAGGACUGGGCAAGCAAUAUUUCAUCCCACCGCAUAAAUUAAUAUCACAAUGCUAAACAGCAGAAAUGCAGUGGAUAGCAAGGUAAUCUCACUACAUAAAUAGGUAAACAAUGAACUGGGAAUUUGAUCUAGAAGAGAUUAAAUUCAUAAUAAGCUAAAAUAAAGUAGAGUGUAGCCAUGAUUUGAUUUUACAGUUUCAUCUUGAAAAAUAUGUGAGAUGUCAUAAUGCCACUUCAACAAAUCUUCUUAAAUGCAAUCAUCACACAACACUAACCUUUCUGAGCAUGAGAACACUGGGUUAUAGAGUCUACAAGGAAAAAGAGGUCAACUCUCCGAUGAAAACUGGGUUCACCCUCCAACUUCCGUAUGAGAAGUUCUACAAUCUGCAUUAUCAAUAUAUGAAAAAUUCAGAAUUGCUGCUUAUUGCAGCACAUAGAAUUAAGAACUUGGGAAAGGCUAAAAAAAAUGUACUUUUUGUGGAAGAAAGACAAAUUUGUCAUGUAAGAACGUAGAUCAUGUAAAGAAACAAAAUAUAAGCAACUUGAAUAAAAUAGAAUUGUACAAACUGGCAGGGUAAUUUUGUUUUCUUUUAAAAAUCAUAUAUAUCAAACACAUUACUAGGAAAAGCUAGCCAUAAAGCACUAGAUCGGAUCAAGUACGCUUAACAAUUAAAUCCACUUUGAAAGCAGAAAAUGCAAGUGCCUCAAUCGAAUAAAAGCAAACCAAUAAGAUAAAUUGAAUCAAAUUUAUGUACCACAAAUUUAUUAAAACCAAAGAAUCGGUCAACCUAAUAAAGUGAUAUUCAGAAUGAAAAUGGCAACCAUAAUUCAAAAUAAAAUCUUAUCCAAAAUGUCAGCUAUGUGUAUGCGUGCCUGCAUGCAGCAAAAUCAUGCAAGUCAGCUCACCUCACUUGCUAUGCCAUAUUUGGCACACUCGAUGGCUAGACGGGUUGCACGCCCUAUACUUUCCUUUGUCCUUGAUAAAGUCUCUAUCAUUCCCUCCAAAGCAUCACGUGCAACAGCAGCCUCAGUUCCACCACUCAGUGAUCCCCCUGCUGCUCUAUACCCAGGACUCAAUCUGUGCUCAUAUUCUUCAUGAUCUACUUGUUUUGCUGAUGCAACUUGCCGAGCUUGUUCAGAUGGAGAUUCAUAAGGUACUGAAACAUAUGCAUCCUUUGGGUCCUUAAAAGAAUUUCCUGAUGCGACUGGAGGGGGUGAUGAAACAGGACUUCGACUGCUUCCAGGCAUCACAUGUGGUGUAGUUAGUGAGGUGGGAAAAGCAUUUUCAUGAGUUAUGUCAUGUGAGUGUGCCUCUCUCCUCUUUGCCUGAGCAGCUGCAAUAAGAUCCUUCAUUGACUUGAACGAAUCUGAAAAUGUAGAAUCACCUUGGAUGCCCCCCGCUUUUUCUUUAUUACCUUCUGAUCUGCAACAGAUUCAGAUAAAUUAACUAUUGAUGAACAAAAAGAAUGAGAACCAAACAUCUAUAAAACCAUAUAAUUGUAUAUCAAAAGAAAGGAGCCAGAGUAGUUUCUGUACCGUUCACCCUCAAAUGGAUCCCUUUCUAUAUUGCGCUCAGCUGAAAAGUUAACAUUUGACCUAUUUUCAGCCAUCGCAUUCGUUCGUGAGCUGGGCUUUGUAUUCACCUUCAGCUUAUCUGAUUUGGAAAGCAAACUACUCUUUUCUGGGGCCGCUUGACUAUGAGAAUGGUCUAAGUUCUCCGAAGUCUGGCUUACGAGUUUGGCAGAACUAGCGUGAGCUUUCUUAACUGGGAUGGACGCAGAUGCUUUUGAAUGUGACUUACUGGAUUUAUGGUCAGCUAACCGAGUUGUAUCACCUAAAUGAACAGCUGUAUUUGGUGAGAUAAUGGUUGGCCUUCUCUCCACAGCUUUUUCAACCUUUCUAUCCUGUUUUCCAGGAGUAAGAGAUGAAGAAUUAUGUCCAACCUCAACAGGUGGUGUCUUAACAUUGCGAUAUAUAUCAUCUGUUGCCAAAACUGAAUUUUUAAUGAGAGAACUGUCAACACUAGAUGGCGAACGCCUGCCUCUUUCAGAAUGCAUUUGAGAUUUCUCAGCAGGAUGUGGUGUUUUUGAAUGCUUAGAGAUCAUUUUGGCAGAAGCUUCUUUAUGAACUGGUGUUCUCUGCUCUUCCUCUUCAGAAUCAUCAUCAUCAAUACGACAUGAUCUUCUUCUGGCAGGCAAAUUGCUAGUGGAGGACCUGUUGACAGCAGCCAUAACUUCCUUCACAGUAUGAGAAACCUUUUCGCUCGUAUCGUUGGCACUUCUUGUUGCAGAGUUAGGUGCUUGUUCCAACUCGUUACUGGGUUGCUUUGAUAGAGGAGACACAGCCUUACCACCUAAUGCCUGGAUCUUAUCAAUAUGUGAUGAAAUUGCAGGGGUUGCAGAUUUGCUACCUUUCGUGGCAUAAGCAUCUUUACUUUCUGAAUUUAUUUGCAACAAAUCGCUCUUAGCUGAGCUCUUAAUUAUAUCACCUCCCUUCUCUUCUGGUUUCAACUUUUUAACUGGCCGUGAAUCUUCAGUCUUGUCCAGUCCCUGCUUUCUAAUUCCAAGCUGAGACUUUUUUCCAGAACCAGUAGAAGAUAAUGACCCUUCAGUUACAUGUCUCUUGAGACUAUCCGAUUUAUCCUUGAUAAGAUCACUUUUCAAUGUUUUCUUCUCAUCUGAGCGUCUCUUCAUAAAGCUUGGACUCUUUGAUCUCUUCUUGCUCUCCAUGGUAAAAUCUAUUUUACUAACAUUUUUGGGCAAUUCUUCAUGUCGACCAUGCUUCCUAGCCUUUCUGUCUGAAUACUUUAAAUGCUUUCCUAUUUCACGAUUCCUUUUCGCUCGUAGAGCAAGAACUACAUCUUUUUGUUCAGGAACCGCCUCUUUUGUCUGAUGACCAUUUUCUACAACCUUCUGUUCUUCACCUUUUAGAUCAGUAUCAUUUCCAGAAAGAGGUGGAGAGCCCUCAUGCUCUUUCUUCUUUUUCAAAUCUGAGAGGUCAAAAGAGUCCUUUUCAACUACACCACUAUGAUUUCUUGAGCCACAAUCCAGACCUUUCAACUCAUCACUGGAGUUAUCACUUUCUUUAUAUUCAACUUUCUUGUUCUGGCCUUCUAAAUGCGUGUUUUCAAGGUCCUCUAUGGGAUCUUUGCUUUCUUCUCCAUCGAUUGGAGAAGAUAUGAGGCCAAAGCCAGAGGCAUCAAUAUCCUCCCCUGAGUCACCUGAUUUUUUCUUCUGAAGUUCAUCAAAAGCCUUGCAAAUCUCUUCCACAGCACGGGCGAAAUGUUUAACCGUUUUACCUUGGCAGCGAGCAAGCAACUUACUCUUUGAUUCAUUCGUAAAUAACUGAAUAUCAGCUGGAGCAACAAAAGCACUGAAAAGAGACAGUACACAAAGGCAGUUAGCCAAAGCAAACAAUAUAAAAUUCUCCAGUUGAUUGAAUGAAAAUAGAUAUAACAGUUAAUACUGUAACCAUAUAAAAUUUGCCCAUAAAAUAGUUUGUAUUGCUGAAAGGUACAAAGAAAACAACAUUAAUGUCUGGAUAGAGAAGCUAAUGCUUCCUAAUAUUCAAUGGCAUCUACGGCCACUAUCAUAUACAAAGCUGAACAUAUUUAGGAGCUUGGAUAACAAAACUAAGUUCAAUGACUUGUUUACAGGAACAAGCAGAAAACCAUUAGGUCUAACCAGGUCAAAAUUAGCUAAUUUAAAGCUCACACAUUCAAAAUCAGGUUGAAAUUAAAAUCCAACAUAUAAUAAUAUUCAUAAAAAUCAUGCCGAUCCAUCAGCCCCUCCCACUCCCCUUAGGUGCCAUACCAAAUCUGACAACCAUUAAGUGGAUCCAAAACUCCUUUUUCUCUAUCAUUCUCUCCGUCUUAGCUGCCUCUUUCUCUACCAUUCCUAAUCAGCACACAUCCAAUUAGUUAUAUAAGUUCCACACUCAUAUCACGAUCAUUUCUAACAUCCCCAUCAAUAGGUUAAUUCUUUUUCAAGAGAACUCAAUAAGAAUGCUUAGACAAAUAUGCUCAACACUAUAAAGCACCUUAAAAAGUCAAUUAAGUUUUUGAGGUCUUAACUUUAUCUCUAAAGAUACUUUAUUACUUCCAGAAAUGAGCAAAUUCAAGAUGGUUUGCCACAACAAACUAUAGAUACGAACUUCAUAAAUGGUAUAGUUACUCAACCAUUCCUCAUAGUUGAUCUUCCAUCAUAACCAAAUUCUUCUACUUGAGGUUAAAAGAAACAACAUUGAAUAACAUGGAACGUCAGGGGAAAACAACACAACUGGUUAGGAUGUAUACGAACUAUUGCUAAAUUUGACAAAAAGGGGUGCUUAAUAAAGGACAGGCAGGUAUCACUCACAUCUCCUUCGUCCCAAAGAAAUGAACAAAUUGUUUCCUCGGAUCGGGCGAUCUUUCCCAAUCUUCAGGCCUGCUUAUCUGAAGAAACACAACGUUGCUACUAAAUGUAAAGCAUUCAGAAGCCACAGAAUUUUGCACAAAUUCAUGGUACAAGAAAAUGAAUGUAACUAAGACCACAAGUGGAAUCAAAGAAAAAAAAUUCGAUUAUUACAAUAUAAAUAUCACAACAGGGAAUGUAUUUAUUGAACUAGGCAGGAGCAACAUGGCACCAUUAAAAUUCCGUAGGUUAAAUUUGGGGAGCAUUUUUCCCAGAGCCUCAAUGAUUCCCAAAGUCUCAAUGAUUCUUAUGCAGAAAUAAAAGAAACAAGAUGAUAACAGAAGAAAGAAAGGCGCAAACCGACCAAAGGUCAACAAGAAAUUCUUUAUUAUUCUAAAGGCAUAAAUAUCCCAUGAGAGCCCAAUUCCAGAACCCUCGUACGCUACCCAAAUCCCCAGAGAAAAUCGGCGAGACGCGACAUGCCAUAGGAAUAACAAGAUAACCAAAAUCAAAACCAAAACCAAUACACCUCCAAGAAUCAAAAACCCUUCGCCCCCCCUGCGGCGCGACCCCAAGCGAUAUAGAACGAGAGAUCAUACCCACCUUCGCUGGCCACGCAGGGUACCCCUUAACCUUCGCCAAGACCAAGUCCCCGAGCCGCAACUGGUCCUUCGCCUUCCCCCGGCUCGCGCCCUUCCUCCGACCCGUGGCCAUGGGGGCGGGCGCAGAAACCCUAAUCCGACCCCAAUUCCACGAGAAGCGCGGGCGCCACGAGAUCGAACAGAAGAGGCCAGGGGGCGGGAAAGGAAACCCUAGAAAUCCUCAAGCGGAGCGACCGCCGCGUCUUCGGCGGCGGCUCCAUGGUGGCGACCAAUGCUGGCGCCCUAAAGUGGCGAGAUCGGAGCCGAUCGGAGCGCCGGAAGCGGCGACGGCGACGGCGUCGGCGUCGGCGUGUGGUGGCGCCGCCACAUUCGGAGGGGGAAGGGGGUGGGGGAAGUGGAUCGAAUGGAGAGAGAGAAAGAGAGAGAGAGGUGCUUUAAUGGCGAUCGAAUUGCGGAGGAGAGAGCAAGAAAGAUAAUAGCAACUAUAGAGAGAGAGAGAGAGAGAGAGAGAGAGAGAGAACAAAGAGAUUAUUGUGGGCUACGUCUUUUCUUGCUAUCGCCGAAGCUACCGGCCGUUGGAUAUUGAUCAGACGGUUCUGAUCAGGUAUUACGGUGCAAAAUUUAUUUGGCCGCGUGAUUUUGAAUCCAACGGCUGAUAUUUUUUUGUAAUUUGGUACGUGGGGGUUGUGGGGGGAUAAAGAACGCGUAGCAGUGGGACACGUGUAGCGUCGAAUUACUCGGUCCGCUACUUGUGUCCAUCAUUCCAAGCGCAAAUAUAAGAUUUUGAAUUCAAUUUCCCAAAUAUAAGAUUUGUUACUGAACGCUUUUAUUUUUUUUAACUUAAACAUUACUUCAGCAUGAGAAGCUAUGUAAAACAAUGUAUUACAAUUUUUUAGGCAAAAAAAAAAAUAAUAAUAAUAAUGCAGUAGGAACACUUUAACAAAUUACAGAAUACAUCUAAUACAGCUUGAAUUUUUAAUAUUUUUGACUUGAUACACUAUCAUUUACUAAAAGUAUUAUCCAAUGGUCAAUAUUUUUUUUUUUUUCACAAAUUCGAAUCAUUCGCUGUUGUUGGUCGAGUUGUUUCGACACCAAAGGGCGUUUGGUUAGAUAUAAUUAUAAAUAUAGUAUAGUUAAAGAUAUAUAUAGUUAAAAAUAUAGCAGUUAUAACUAUAUAAAUCUUAUUUGGUUGGAUAUAGUAGAAAGCGCUGCAAAUAUAAAUAAUUUAUUUGGUUACAUACAGUUGAGAAAUAAUUUUUAAAAUUUUAUUAUUUUAUAUAUAUAAUGGUGAGAUUACCUCCAAUGUAAAAAAAAAAAUAAUUUUUGUUUAAAAAAUAUUGAGGAGGUAAGCAUACAUUUUAUUUAAAAUUACUCUCUCCAACAGCUGUAGUUGAAACUGUGGCCAAUUUGGGUGUAGUUCGAACUGCUGCAGUUGGGCCUCCUCCUGCCGUUCCUACUGCAGCAGUUGGAGUUAAAUACAUCAAAUCAAAUACGAAAUUUGCAUUUACAUGCAAUUACAACUGCAGUACAGUUGGAACUACAUGCAACCAAACGGUCCCUAAUUACACAUACUUCUGAGUAUUGAAAAAAUAGAAGUAAAAAAAUACAUAUAUAAUUAUGCUACUAUACUAUCGAUAAUACCAAACGCUUGCUAUCGAGUUUUCGGCCGUUGGAUAAAAGAAUAUACGUUUAGAAUGAUAGUGAUUAUCUAGGUAUCGAUAGUACAGUACCAAAUGUUUGCUAUCGAGUUUUCGGUCGUUGAAUGAAAAGAUGUAUGGUUAAGAUGAUAGUGAUCAUCUAGGAUUGAGUGGGUGGGUAGUUGGUUGAAUAGUAUAAUCUAACGAAUGAAAAUGAUCAAAGAAUAGAUCUAACGGCAGAAAACUUGAUUGUAUCAAGAAUUUAGUAUAGUAUAUAGUAGCUCAACUCUCUCUCUCUAUAUAAUAUUUUUAUAAUGUAUGCAUAAAUUAGUCUGUUUUAUCUAAUUUGUAAUUAUUUCAACAAAAAAAAAAUGGAUAUACCACAGCCAAAAAUUGGCUACCCAUCAAAAUAUUCUCCACCAAAAUAUCUUGUACACUUUUUCUUUCCCACAAGAAAUAUCUUCCUAUCCAAUCCCCAUAUAAACUCUCCUCUUCUUCUCCCUCCCACCACUCGAUCCCCUUCUAACACUUCACCAUAAGAUGAACACCUUGUUCCCAAACACCCUAUUCUCUCUACCACUAAAACCUAAACCCCUACUCACUCCCGCAACAACAACAACAACAAUUUCCGCUCUAUCCAAUCGAGCUAUUCAUUUAUAUAAAUGCAAAGCAUGCAACAACAGGAAUGCAUGGAUAGAGGAGUACGAUUUAUACGAGCUCUUGGGGGUGGAGAGCUCGUCGGAGCAGCCGCGGAUAAAGGCCGCGUACCGCGCGCUGCAGAAGCAGUGCCACCCCGACGUCGCAGGGUCCGCCGGCCACGACAUGGCCGUCAUCCUCAACGAUAUCUAUGCACUUCUCUCCGACCCCGUCUCCCGCUCCGCCUACGAUCAGGUUCGUCAUCGAGACCCUCCUAACUCGUCAGGUUUCAUUUUAGUUCUCGAACUUUUUCAGCUGAAAGUUUGACACCAUUUUUAGCGUUUAUCUGUAAGUUUAAUUUUAUCUUUAUUGCUAAAUUAGUUAGAUUGUGAUUACAAUCAGAUUUAGCUGUACGUAUUUUCCUAACAAUAUCUCAUUGUUCAAACAGGAGCAAGAAAAACUCUCAGAAUUCCGAGGAUACACGGGAAAACCGACCUAUUCGACGUGGUUCGGGGCCGAGACCGAAGAUCGUGCCGUCUUUGUGGACGAGCUCAGAUGCGUCGGUUGCUUGAAAUGUGCUCUCUUUGCAAGCAAAACAUUUGCCAUCGAAUCGGUCUACGGGCGUGCUCGUGUUGUCGCCCAGUGGGCUGAUCCCGAAGAGAAGAUCGUCGAGGCGAUCCAAACCUGCCCGGUCGACUGCAUCUCGUAAUACGACUGACGAAAUCUCCCUUGAUGCAUUAGUUACAAGCUGAUAAUCAAACCUUAUCAUUAUGUUUGCGUAGGGUUGUCGAAAGAUCUAACCUGGCAGCCCUGGAAUUCCUGAUGUCGAAGCAGCAGCGCGGCAGUGUGAGGUUGUCUGCAGGUAACACCGUGGGAGCGCGAGCGUCAGACAUUUUUUCUGAUGUCAACAAGUUUCAGAGGAGAUUCAGGGAGAUCAAAGAAAAAGCUUCAAGGAAAGAGUCCAAGGUAAUGACAUUGACACAAGUCUAGAAGAGAUAUUCUAGUGCUAAAAGAUGCAUCUGAAAUGUAAUAAUUAAUGUCGUGUUAAGAGGAUCUGAAAUCAUAUCACCAAAACCAGAGAUUCAAAAUAGUGCACAACUUGUAAUGCCGCAUCGUCGAAUAUUACUUGAUGAAAUAGCCCUAAGCUAUUCGUUUCAUGUCGAGAUGCAUGCAUGCUUUAGUACAACAAAUCUUUUUAUGCGUAAAUUAUUCCAUUUUCGUAACUAUUUUUUUUUUCUUCUGAUAAUCAGGAGUCGGACCUUCUAAGAAAAUCCAGGAUUUCAGCUGUUCAAGGAAUCCGAUCGAUCUCAAAUUGGUGGUACUGGACGCCUUUCAAAUCUGCGACAGUCGACACUGAAACCUCACUAAUUCCGAUCCCCAGUACACGAAGAAUCGACACGUCUGCCACAGAAAGACUUAAAGAAGCAGCUGCCGCCAAAAGAAAAGCAGAAGCCAUCCGACGGGCAUCGAUAUCUUACCGCAACAACGAUGACUACUGGACCCCGAUGCUCGCCCUUCCAUCUCAGUCCGGCAAUUUCAAUAUGCCAAAAUCCUCUACAGGGUCCGAAAAGAGUGAUCUUUUGGAGGACUCAGAUGCGAAUCGAGGAACGACGAGAGUCGAGAAAGAGAAAUGGGGGGUUGAUUUGAAGGCCCCUCUUCUGAUGGCAAUGGUUUCUGCAGCAGCUGUAGGGUAUAAAGGGGGAGAUGCAGCAGAGAGUGUUGGACUCAAAGAACACAUUGGUGGUGAUGUGGUAUUGAGAGUUGUCAAUAGCUUUGAGUUGCAGGUUUUGUUAGCAGGAGUUACUUGGUUUGUAAUUGGGCUGAUUGUUGUAGGUUUAGUUACAGUUGUUAGAAAGGGAGAGAAUGCUUAAAAGAUGAAGAAAAGAAGUUGAUGAGGGGAUGAUACAACACUCGUGAUGUAAUAGUAUGUAUACAUAUAAGAGACAAGGGUACACAUAUACUGUUGAUAUGAAGUUACACUGAAUGACAAGAACAAAAUGGCAUAGAUAUAAUCAGGGCAAAUAAUAGGAGUAAUGAAUUUUCUUUAAAAAAGGAUAUGGUUGCAUCCCAAACUAUCAGAUUUGUUUAUAUCUUGAACAGCAUCCCUAGUGGUUCUUGUCUUUUAUGUGCUGGGCGUUUUUAUAAUUCGUUAGCCUUUUCCUUGUCUUUUUUUUUUUUUUUCGUCAGUUUAAUUUUAGGCUAAAAUUUAUCUCAUCAUGUUGCUUCUAUGCAUGACAGGUAAUAGCUACUGCUUUACACACGUAUAUUUUAGUUGGCAUAUUUCUUCCCAUUUAGUAAAUAAGUAUGCAAACUUUAGUAGCUGAGGAAUGUAGUCAAACAACUAGAAUAAAUACCAUAUUUGACCUUCAAUUAUUUUUUCCAAAUAAAAUAAAUCAUCUACCAAAUUAUUUUCUCACGAUAAUAAUAUAUUUUUUUUAGAGAGAUAAGUAGCACGCUACUCGCUUCCUUUAUUUUAUUUAGAAAUAAACUUAACUAGAAAUAUGAAUCAACUAGGAUUCAAACUUGGGUCUCGAAUACCAACCACCAAAUCCUUUGACACUUGCUCUAGAGACGGUCGGUUCUCACGAUAAUAAUACCAUCCUGUCAAAUUAUAAACGUAUCAAGACAUUAUAUACGUAUCAAGACACGUGAUCGGGGAAUUGUUAUUAUCCUCCUCGCCAAGUUCUUUUUUCUACCGGUACUGCUUUAGAGCACCUCAUAUGUUAACCGAAGUAUAUAUCACGCUGGUAUCGAUGAUAAUUAUAUGUUCUUCUACGGAAAUGAAAAAAAAAAAAAAAAAAUCUGUUUUCAACUGAUAACCCCAACCUGAGUUUUGUUCCGAAAUCUUACAUAAAAAACCACAAACUACUAAAAUGCUAGUAUAGUGUAAACAUACAACAAAACUGAUACGAGCCACAAGGCGAGGACCAAUGUUGGUUCUCCUCCUUGCCAAAGUAAUCAAACGGCCAACAAUUAUUAGACAUAUGAAAUGAUUUUAAAUGUUGCUCUAAGAACUAGUUGCACCCAAAUAGCUUUCUCAAUACACUGUAGUGUCUUAAUGGCCACAAAGGAAAGUAUCAUUAGCACAGCAUAAUCAUUUUCAAAAAGGAUUAUCUUAAAUAGUUAUCUAGCUUGCAUCUAACUCAAAAUGGCUCAAGUUGUAAAGAGGGGAAAAGUAAAUAAAGCUCAAACUAAAGUUAUUAACUGCGGUAUUCUCUAUUGUCUCUAACUUAAAGCCAACCUCUUCGCUGAUAAUUCCAUCCGAUGUAAAACUCAUGUAACUUACACGUCAAUUGUUGAGACCCGGCAAGCACUUAUCUCAUCCUUUUUUGUGCUUUGAAUAAUCACCGGUGAUCAGGAGAAGACCUCACCACCUAUUUUUGGGUGGUUUCACUUUGUAUAUCCGCACGAUCCAGUUUGACGUAGUGAAUGCCUCUUCCAGGUACUCGAGCGUGAUGUCUUUGUUCCCGAUUUCCACUCCUCUUGCUCGAUCGUAUCUGUAACAUAAAAGAAGCAUUAACCAUUAAAUCAGGGAGUCGUUCAAGUUUCUUGUCAGUUAUGUAUGUGUUGGUGUUAGUAUGCGCAGAGAGGGUCCACUCUUGGCACUAGGCUCGAGUUUUAACCACUUCAAUACUUGAAGCAAAGAGGAGGGCCAUUCCAUAGUCCAUGUCAGUUUGCUAGCUGCUGUAACUUGAAAAGCUGGAUAUAAUAUGAUUGCAGCAUUUAGCAUUCUGGCACGGAUUAUAGACCGCAUAAACCAUGAAAUUUCAGCUUAGUGUUUGGAUAAAACUUAUUUUGUGUUU
rnacentral:lncRNA from 1 species